rnacentral:lncRNA from 1 species
GAUGGAACAAUAUGGCACAAAAUUGAUCUUUGGAUUACUCCACCAUGUUCGGUUACAAGCCACUCCUAAGCACAAUCCAAACUAGGAUGACAAAAAGAUCAACUCACACCUCUCUCCCUCUGCCAAAGGCUCUCACAAAGCAAAUGAGAAAAUCCCCACCAAAACAACCAAAGGGAUGGCUACCCCAACCAGCCAUCUCUCCUAUAUAUAGGCAUCUGGAAAAUAUCCAGAAUGCCCUUACAUGAAGCACACAACUCAAAUACCCUCCAGGGCUAAAAUUGUCCAACGUUUUCCUCGUACAUCGGAUGGACCCGGCGCCUUCACGACUUCGCUUCGCCUCAACGCAAGCUUCGUGUGGUGUCACGCAUCCUCUGACUCGACGCCGUCCAGCCGCACCGGAAUCGUCCCCCGAUUUUGAGGCCAAACUGGUCAAACCCUCUUGCACACCCCGCAGGCGUGACUCAUCCCUGAUUUUGAGGCCAAUCCGAUCAAACCCUCUCGCAUGCCCUGCAAGGCAUGAUUCACCCCCUUGUUUUGAGGUCAAACCAGUCAAACCCUCUUGCACACCGCGUACGACGUGACUCACCGAUGUUGACGCGUGUCUGAUCUCCGCCAAGCCUUCGACGCCUCCAAGUCUUUCGCUCCUGGCUCCCGGGCCACCUACUCGACUCGCCUCCGUCCCGCUUGACUCGACCGACGCCGUCUCCAUCUCAUCCGUGUACUCUUGCUCUUUCGUGCACCAUGUGGAUCGUCCAUGACUCCGCUCGGACUCCUCGGGUCCCUCGGUCCAAACAUUCAUGCCCACCCUUCACAACGCUAGUACAUUGGUAUGAACCUUUCGCUUGACCUUCACCUCAUGCCAUCGACCGCCAUGUCGCAUCCUACACCUGCACAUCACAAGCCAAGAUACACAACACACAAGAUAUGUUUUAUACAAACACCGCAACACAACUCACACAUCUGGUUAGCCGUUAGCAUAAUCAAGUGCAUAUGGAAUAUGGACUCAACCGGUAAAGCCUCAAAUCAUCUAGUUAAUCACUCAUCACAAAUAGACCAAGACACAUGUCAACUUGGUCUCUCAAUCUCCUCCUUGAUAAGUGCAUUGACAAAAGAUGAUUUGAAAGCAAAAGAGAACUCAUUCAAGUGCCCAAAAGCCAAAUAAAAGGAAACACAAGGCAACUUGAUAUGAAAAAGGAUCAUGCAAGCUCCGAACAAAAAACUCUAGGUUCCCAAAGAAGAGACAAAAAACUUAACACAACCGAAGAGUCAAGCAAAAAACACAAGAGCUUCAUGAAUCCCAAAAUGCCAUCAAAGCCAUUUCAAUAUUUGUCAAACGCUCAUCACAAUUAAAUCAAGGUUCAUAUCAACUUGAUUUUCUCAAUCUCCCCCUUGAUGAGUGUGUUGAAACCAUUCAAGCACAAAGAAAUGGUUUGAGAGGCAAAAGUCAAAAAUCUCAUCCAAGUGAUCGAAAGCUAAGUAAAAACUAAGAUCAAAGUCACUUGAGAUGAGAACAACCAUAAAAGCCAAGUUGUGAAACCAAUUAGGCAAAGCUCCCAUUCAAGUGAUCGAAAGCCAUGUAAACGCUAUGAUUAAAGUCACUCGACAUGAGAAGCAUCACAAAGACCAAAUCAACUUGGAAAAGUCUCAGUUCCCAAAGACAUGGGCAACGGCUCGACACAACCGAGACAAAGAACACAUGAUCUCUCAAGAAGAGGCAGAAAGGGCUCAACACCAAUCAUGUGAAGAUCGAAAACACAGGAUCCCUCAAGAAGAGGCAGAAAUAGCUCAAAACCAAUCAUGUGACGAUCGAAAACUCAAACCAAAUGCCAGCUCCUCAAGAAGAGGUAAAAAGCUCAACACGACCGACAAAAGAGCAAAAGAGAGCACAAAACUAGCACAAAGCUUAGAAGCUACCCCUGAACACAUGCACUCCCCCUGAAAACAUGCCACAAUGAAAUGCAUGCACAAAAGCAAAAGAAUGCAUGCUCCCCCUCAAAUGCAAAACUCCCCAUUAAAUGCAAGACUCCCCCUUAAAUGUAAACAUCAAGAUCGUAUGAGAGCACAAAAUGCAUGCCAUGGAAUGUAAAACUUACCAAGCUUCUCAAAUAUAACACAAAGCACUUACAAAGGCUAGAAGUGAGAUAAUGCACAAACAAAUAGAUCAUAAAGAGCAAUUCAUCGCCAUCAAGAUGGNNNNNNNNNNNNNNNNNNNNNNNNNNNNNNNNNNNNNNNNNNNNNNNNNNNNNNNNNNNNNNNNNNNNNNNNNNNNNNNNNNNNNNNNNNNNNNNNNNNNUGACAAGUUUUGCAGUUUAUAAAAAGUAUCACCACCAUGAGCAAGUAUCUAGUCAUGUCAUUCAAGCAAGAAGCAAACUAGGCCAUCAGAGCUCAUACAAGGAAGAUACAUUCUCAACAAGAGAUCAUUGCAAACACCCACAUAUGCAUCACAAGUCAUGUCAAGGCUUGUUGAAACCAUGUGCCUACUUCUUUUUGGUAGACAUCAUGUAACAACUAAGCAAGCAAGGAUAUCAACAUUAAGCACAAAAACUUGGUGAAUUACUGAAUUUUUCUUAUCAUAAUUUUUCAUCAUUCACAUUAAACAAGUUACAUGAAGUGCCUUUGCGGCACAAAGAAUCCAUGCUUCCCCAAGGAAUGCAUUAUGGGCUAAAUAUUUGCAAUGAUACCUAAAUCUUUGAUCCAAUUGAAAAGAACAUAGAUUCCAAGUAGAAGCUAAACAUGGAGCUAGCAUUCAAGCAAGAGCAAUGCAUAAAUAGGUAGCUAGUCAGGGGUGAUAAGCAUUUCAGAAUUCAUUAUUCAAGAUUAACAUUUGAUUCAGAAAAGCAUUUAGCUCAACAUGGUUAUAUGACAAUAUCAUCAAGAGAAUAUGCUGCACAUUGCUACACAAUCACCAACCAAUGCACUAGCUCACAAAUAGCAUAAGGAAAUGCUAAGGAUAUAUAGGAGAAGCUCAUCUAGUUCAAAGUGUACAAGGUGCAAUAUGAUAUAAAUGCAAUGCAAUGCUAAAAGAGAUGGGGCUCAGCUCAAAAUCAAGAAAGUUCAUGAGGGUCAAACCAAUCUAGGAAAAGCUCCGUUGCCAAAGAAAAACUGCCAAGGAUCCCAAUUGAGUACCAUAGAAAGGAUACCAAUUGAAGGAUCAAAAAUUGAUAUCACUUGAAGAAGAUGGAAUCCAAUUGAAAGAUCAAAUGUGAUAACAAUUAAAAGAUCAAAAGCGGAUAUCAAAAAUCAAAGCAAGUCCUUGGUCCAAACUCCCCCUCGAAUGAAGCUGAACUCCCCCUCAACCAAAGACACCUAGCAAAGAAAAGCUAGAAAAAGAAGGGGUAAAAGAAAAGUUCUAACUCCAAUAAAAAAAGAAGAGAAAAUGCAACCUAAAGAUAAGGGAAGCCCAAAAACAAAAUAAAGCUCAAUUCAUGUCACACAAAGCAAUGAUGAUACCAAUGAGAGGAAUUAGAGCAUUGCAACAUGAUUCUACAUUUAUGAAUAAAAGAUUGGGCAAGCAAACAUGUCAACAAGGUGCGAAGGAUUAUACAAAGAUACUAAGCUAAAAUGAUACCAAAUGAACAAUAUACCAUACCCAAUACAAAGACUAAGCAAAAGCAUGGUACGAUGUUCAUGUGAAUCAUCCACCAAGAUAUAUUAAAAAGCUAGCAUGACAAGAUACACAUGAAGAUCACACAUGCUAACAUGAAUAGGUGGCUAGCCUACCAUGGUAUAUUCACAGCAUGAUACAAGUAUAAAACUUGCAAAAGAGUCCACAAGUGAAUAGUAUACACGAAAGGAAAAACUCACUAUACAAGUGUACAUCCAAACAGUGUGGAGAGCCAUCAAGUCUUGAUCACCUCAAGCAAAAGAUCAAGUCCCUUCGAGCUCAUGUCCUCCACCUGCAUCCCCAUACCUACACAUGAGGGGACAAAGAAGACCGAGUCUUGCAUCCCAAAGGGUUAGUAAGCAUAUACUUGGGAAUCCAAAACUUAGUCACACGGGUAAAAGAUGCACUCAACUUAUCAUGUGGGUUAGCAUGAUGCAAAUGCCGGUUCAAAUGAGAUGAUUUUGAAAUACCCUUGGAACCAUGCCUCAAAGAAGCAACUUGAGAAGAAGAACGAGUGCUACCACUAGCAAAAAGACAAUGAUCCCCCGGGGUCUUAAGAGAAGAACCAACACAAGCACCAUGAGAACCAUGGCGUGGACCAACAUAAGAAUAACUAGAAGCAUGUCCACGAGCAUGACCUAACUCACUAGAAAAGUAGUCAUAAAACCCAUCAAUGAAAUGUGGCUUCUUACUAGGCUCACAAGUGCUCAUGCCAUGAGAUGGGCUAUGAACAACCAAAGGCCUAGAAACACGAGUUCGUCACAUUUGUCUUGCAUGACGAUAACAAAAGCUAUCUUGAUGCCCAUCUUUCUCAUAAUAGGAGCAAUGGUACAAAGGCCUUUUUGUAGGCACGGUCCGAGAGGAUGAAUCAUCAUUCUCAUUCAAGUGAGAAAUCCCUUGGGACUUAGAGCAAAAAGCAUCAACAACACCAUUUGACUUGGUGCCCAACAUUAGGUUCACACGUGCCAUGGGAAAGGCUACAUGGCUUUCUAAAAGCUUUGGCACGCACACAUCGCUCAUGCUUGAUAUGGCGAAAACAAAACUCAAUGGUAUGCCCAUCUUACAAAAGGUGCAAUGAAACUUUGGUUUGGGAGUAUGAGUUACAAAAGUGUGAGAAGCACCCUUGCCACUUGAAUUAUCUUGAGCAAUACUGGAAGAAGCAACAAGCUUAAGAGUAGCUAUAGAAGAGCUAUCCAAAGCACUAGCACAAGUACUAGCAUCCAAAGACUCACGCUCAAUAGAAGAAAGCAACUCCAGUUGGGAAGAAGCAAUUUUGGAAACACCAACAUCGGAGUGAUAAGAAUUGCAAGAAUCAAAAGACUUAGCACUAAGAAUCUUGCAUCUUGUGGCUAAAACCUCAUUUUCAUGUUUGAGACGAUCACAAGUACCACAUGGAGCAUUUCUCAAAUUAUCCAUCUCCUUUUCAAUACACUUAGCAUAUGUAGUACGCAAGAGUUUAUUUUCUUUCUCAAGGUUGGCACUCAUCUCAUUGCGCUCAACCAACUUGGCACUCAUAUCAUCGCGCAUUUGCUUCAAAGUUAAAACUUCAUUUUCCAAUUCAAUGCAUGAUGUGCAAAUAAGACCGCAUGAACAAUCAUCAUCAUUCACAUCACGCACGAUAUCAUGAUUAUCACAAGAAGUAAGGCAAGCAUCAUCAUCAAGAACCAAAGAGCACAUGCUACAAGGCAUAGACUUUAUUUCACAAAUUUCAACCCUAGCAUGCUCAAUUUGUUCAACACAUGUGGUAUGAGUCAAUUUUAAGUCAUUAAUUUCAGCAAACAAAGACUCAUAUGAAACACAUGGCAAAGAAGCAUUAGACUUCAAAAGAGCAAUUUCAUCCUAGUCUUAUCAAGAUCAUUAUUCAAAGCAACACAUGAAUUACAUGGCAUAGAGGUAUUGGAUUUCAACAUUGCAUUUUUAGAUUUUAAAGCAUCAUAAUCAAUUGAGAGCUCAUCAAGUAGUCUUCUACAAGAUUCAAGUUGCUUGUCACCAAGAUAAACAUCUCUUUUUAGUUUCUCAUUUUCAAUGUGCAAAACAUCACAAGAUUUGCAUGGUAGAGGUAAGCUAGACUUGCAUGAAAUUAAAGCAUUCACAUUAUCAAGUCUAGACAUGUCCAAAUUUUUCUUAAGCUUAGCAAUCGUCUCGCCAUGAGCACAAAGGCAAGUGAACAAACCAAUUAUACCUUGGGAGAGUUUACCUCUACUCAUCUUGUGAAGCUUGCGUUGGAGAUCAUCUUCUUGAGGCAUCUCAUCCAUCAAAAGACGCAUCAAUGCCAUCACUUCAUCAUCCUUGUUUAGAUCAUCCCGCUUCUUUCUGCUUUGAUGUGACCACACCACCUAGGGACAAAGAACCAAUAGAACAAGAGCUUGGUGCCAAAACUCAAAGCACCGGUUAGGAUUAGCCAAAAACAAGCUCAAAUCGUGAAAACCAAAUCCGCAAGCAAAAGCGCUCUUUACCUUGUCGCCCCGUGGAUCACAAAGCUGAUUAAAGUUGUGUGAUUCUUAACCAAGCUCUAAUACCAAUUGAAGGACCGAAAAGAUGACCAGAGGGGAGGUGAAUGGGAGCUGAUUCAAAUUUUCUCAAAGAAUCUCGACUAAAGUCCCAACCUAAUCCACAAAACUCUCUUCUAGCAAUAUCAAGUCCCCUUAGCUAUGCAGGAGCUAAUGGACCUAGGAAUAUUGCUAGGAACCCAAUUUGAGACUAGUGGAAGCAAGAAAGAGCCCAAACAAGUAUCGGAAGAAGAAAUUUGAAAACCAACACUAAAGUUUGGAAAAUUCCGGAAAAUCCUUCGGAAACUUCCGGACUUUCGAAAAUUUCCGGAAAACCUUUGGAAAAUUGCAAAACUCUUGAAAACAGCCUUCGUGAGGAAGUUGGAAAAAUCUGAAACUCGAUCAAACGACCUCCAAAAAUUAGAAAAUUUAAACCAUAGACUCACAACAACAUACCAAAGGUAUUUUCCAAAGGAUCAAGUUGAAAAGCCCAAGAAUUGGUCACUAGAUUCAAAGGAUUUGGGAAGGGCAUAAGAAAGGGGAUUUUCGGGGAAUCUCAAAAUUCAAGCCAAAUUUGUGAGGGAUUUGAGGGAGAUCACAUUAUAGAUGCUCACACGGGUCAUAGCAACAAUUUCUCCUAACAAAUCUCACGGGAUUUGGGCUCAAACGCGAAGAACGCAAAAUCCCCAAAAAUACCUCCAAAAAUACCGAGAAAGAUAAAUUUUAGAUUCAAAGAGGAUGGAACAAUAUGGCAUAAAAUUGAUCUUUGGAUUACUCCACCAUGUUCGGUUACUAGCCACUCCUAAGCACAAUCCAAACUAGGAUGACAAAAAGAUCAACUCACACCUCUCUCCCUCUGCCAAAGGCUCUCACAAAGCAAAUGAGAAAACCCCCACCAAAACAAGCAAAGGGAUGGCUACCCCAACCAGCCAUCUCUCAUAUAUAUAGGCAUCCGGAAAAUAUCCAGAAUGCCCUUACAUGAAGCACAUAACUCAAAUACCCUCCAAAGGUAAAAUCAUCCAACGUUUUCCUCCUAUAUCAGAUCAUUGCUUACCCUUGUGCUUGUCAGCUAUCAUGUUCAAGUAGGAAACACAGCGCUUGGAAAGUUGAUCAAGACUCUCCCCACCAACCUACCAAAAAAAUGAACGGAUUAGAUAACUAGUAUACAACAACCACAAGGAAAAAUGACUGUCACUGAUUCAGAAGGAUUCAAGGUAGCUUUGGGAGGAGAAUGGAAGGUAGUUACAGGAAUUUCUUGGUUUCUGUCAUCUGAUGAGAAAGCCUUGUAAGCUUCAGGCUUGGUACUGACGGCAUCAUCAAACUUCAAACCGUGGAGAUCUCCCAUGUGCCUUUCUCUCAGUGACUGAUCAAACACCAGCUGAAACAAACAGUAGUUAAUUUAUUUAAAACAGCAAUUCGAAAAAUUAGCAUACAUUAUGGAGACAUGACAAGCAGUAAUUCAAGUUGUCCCAGAGGAUUCGUACAUUGGGUACAUGGCAAGCUAUUGCGAUAGUUUGUGCAGUCUCGGCAGCGCGCUUCAAAUCAGAGGAGUACACAGCAGCUGGCUUGGCUUCUUUGGACAACCGACGGGCAAGCUUCAGGUUUUUUUUAAUAAUUGAUAAAAUCAGAACCACGUAAAAGCAUGAUUCCGAGACAUAACCGCACAAAGUAUAACUACCAUGAUAGCUUGCUGCCUACGGAGUACCAGUCUCAUUCAGCUCCGGAUCCAUAAAGAGUUGAAUACCGAGCCUCGUGAAGGAGGAGAAAACUAAUGGAACAAUGGUGAGAAGGGACUUCUAUACUGAAGUCUGAAUUGCUGAUACUGUUAGCAACAAGCACCUGAUUCAACUGGAGGAGCCAUUUCAAGCAUAAUCAUUGAAAUCACAAAACAGUUUUGAAAAGAUCGAAUCAUCCGGAAAAAAGGAGGAUUCUCUUUUUCCUUCUUCCUCGGUACAAAUUGCAGGUGGAGAAGGACAGGGAGAGAACUGACCUGAAUGAUGCGGGAGGCGUUCCACGACGUCUCUUCAUGCCGCACCACCACCACCUCCGCGAAGUUCUCGCCGUCCUGCGAUGCAGGUGACAUUGCUCGAUGGGCGCUAGCCGCUGCAGUGAAGAGGAGAGGGACGGACCUUCCAUCCAGGUGCUUUUGUUCCAAUUGACUUUGGAUCCGAGACUAAAGUGUCUUUAGUCCCGGGUCAAAAAUGAUGCACCGAAGGCUACCGACGGAAGGGGCUUUAGUCCCGGUUGUAAAGACCAACUGGGACUAAAGCCUCCCCUUUAGUCCUGGUUGUAACUGCUAAAAGAUCUGGUACCGAUGCCACCCCUUUGUCCCAGUUGGUAAUUCCAACUGGGACUAAAUCUUUUGUUCCGGUUGAAUAGACCAACCGGGGCAAGGGGGCUUUAGUCCCGGUUGGUAGCUUCAACCGGAACAAAACGCCCUUCACGCGCCUCCUUCUCUUUCCACGUUAUCUUUCUCCUCACAUCCUUCCUUCCUUAUCCUCGCACAACACUCCUCUCCACUUCUUAUCCACCGACGCCUCCUCUCCUCUCUACUCCUUAUUCACUGGCACCUCCUCUCCUCCACUCUCCUCUCUGCGCUGCCGCCACCCCAUCCCCCUCUGCUGCCCCUCCCCUUCCCCCUCUGCUCGCCCCUCACUAGUAGUGAGCGACAACGGGGCGAGGGCAGGGUAGUGGCGCGCGGGGGAGCGGUGUCGACCAGCUAGAGGUGUCCCCAUGAGCUAAUGCGGCUGGGCAGCGGGUGGCCGAGCGGUGCCGGGCAGGCUGCAGUGGGCGAGGGCGGAGCGGAGGUGGACAGAGGUGGGUGGCGGCAGGUGAAGGCGGAGCCGAGGUUGUCGGUGGCGGAGCGGAGGCGGGCGGCGACUGGCGGAGGCGAGCAGUGGCGGAGCCGAGGCAGUGGCGGCAGGCGGAGGCCCAUUUUUUUUUAUUUUUUACCUUUUUAGUCCGGGUUGGUAAUACCAACCGGGACUAAAGGACGUCUUUAGUCCCGGGUGAAUGACUCAUGACUAAAGGACCUCCCCUUUUAUCUCGAAAACUUAGUCCCGGUAGGAUUUUCGUGAUCUAUGGCCCUAUCCAACCUGGACUAAAGUCGCAUUUUCCACCAGGGGCAGCAUCCGGAAGGCUGGAAUCACAACCACCUCUCUUGUCCUAUAUAUAUAAUUACCCCGUCCACUUGUCAUAUGUGUUCUUAAUAUUUCUCAUAGUUGACUGUAAUCUCGUCUUGGUUUAUUUAAGUUAGAAAGAAACACGGGAAGAGCAACAGCGCGUUAAUUGGUUUCUGCUCCAAGUCUAAAAGUCUUCCAAGUUUGUUGUACCAGAAUGCUGAUGAUUGCUAUUCAGCCAAGCAAACGAAACACGGUUGCAGAGUGAUGAUACAUCAAGUUCAUGACAUUUAUACUAGACCACACGCCCAAGAAAAUGCAAUGUAAAAACACGGAGAGGCGGAGGCGGUCGGCGGCCGCGGCGUGAGGGCAGAGACGGUGGACGCGGCACGAAUUGAAGAACCUCAAAACGCCGCGGCAAGCGGCAUUGUGGCCGUUGAAUGGCGGGGUUGUAGCCCUCAAGCCGCAUCCAACCAUCACCAAAUGCACUAUGCGGGAAGCCAUCUCCGGUGAGGUGUCCGGCGUCCCCGAACUUCUCCAGGAUCCAACGGCCAUCGGAACCGGAGAUAUGGACAACGCUGAUUGAGGUGUUAGGAAUUUUCUUGCCAACCGAGAUCGUUGGAUCGGCGUGCCUGCAGAUUUCCUCUAUGACUGCCUCAUGGGAGACGACGACCACCCGCUCACCUUUUAACGCAACACGCGACAGCUUGAAAUUCACCACCAGGUGCAAGUUUUGACCAUAUAGAGAGCACAAGAAAUUACUAUGUGGAUUAGUGCUUACCCUUGUGCUUCUUGGCGAUUUCGUUCAAGCGGGAAACACAACGCUCAGAAAGUUGAUCAAGACUCUCCCCGCCACCCUGUCCAAAGGAGAUGACUAGUGAGUAAUAUAUAGCAACCAACAGGGGAAAAGCAUGCCUAAGCCUAGCUUUUACUUCGACUAAGACUAAGUACAACUUUGAGAGGAGAAUGGAAAUUAGUUACAGGUAUUUCUUGGUCUCUGCCACCGCAUGCGAAAGCCUUGUAAGCUUCAGAUCUCUUGGCAUCGUCAAUGGUCCAACCUUGGAACAAUCCCAUGUGCCUUUCCGUCAGUGCCCGAUCAAUCACCAGCUGAAACAAACAGCAGCCCAUUUAUUCAUGAAGCGAGAAAAAUUAGCACAAACUAUUACUAGUAUUCAAAGAAUGUUCAUACAUCAGAAUCAGAUACGCAGCAAUGCUCUGCGAUCGUUUGCGCAGUCUCGGAAGCACGCUUCAAGUCAGAGGAGUAGACGGCAGCUGGCUUGGCUUCUUCCGACAGACGACGGGCAACCUUGAGGGUUUGAACAAAAUCAGAAUCACGUACAUAUCUCAAGUCAUGACGAUCUCACAAAGUAUGGCGUACCUUGGCAGCUUGCUGCCUACCAGUUUCGUUCAGCUCCUGAUCGAUCCGUCCCUGUUGAAACUUAAAAUAAGCCUUAACACAUGUUGUAUUGCAUCGCAGAGGGAGAAUCAUAUCUAAGUGAUGCGAUAAGUAGCAAGCUGUGACAGGACAGGAUGAAGAAGAAGCGACCUGAAUGAUGCGGGAGACGUUCCAAUCCGUCUGUCCAUGGCGCACCAACACCACCUCCGCGAAGUGCUCGCCAUGCGGCGAUGCAGGUGCCAUUGAUCGAUCGGCCGGCGUUAUUGCUGCAGAGGGAACGAAGGGGAGAUGGAUGGUCUUGCUCUAGCUGGCUUGCAGAGGUUCCUUGAAAUCUGGAACCUCUCUGCUCUCUUGUGCUAUAUGAUUGGCCAUCUGGGGCGACUUCAUAGGAGGCCAGAGAGGCCAGAGAGUAGAUUAUAAUUCGUGUACGUUUUGAAGAUGGAAAGAUGGCGACCUGCUAGUUGACUAAUAAAUUAGAAACACGGUUUGAUUUGGUUUGGUUUCGAGAGCAAUUUUGGUUUAGUUUGGUUUCAAGAGCAAUUUGAGCAACAACACCCAUUCCAACAGCAGGUUCGGCUUCUCCAGCAAGUACGUGGCCAACUAAGCUGGUCGGCGGACCAAAUUAAAGAAGCUAUCCACUUUCUUCUCCAUCAAGAUACCCUGUGCUAUAUAAUUACCCCCAUCCACAUCAAGAUACCCUGUGCUAUAUAAUUACCCCCAUCCACUUGUCAUCUGCGUUCUUAAUAUUUCUCAGAGUUGACUGUAAUCUCAUCUUGGUUUAUUUAAGUUGGAAAGAUAAUUGCCUGCUAUUUAAGAAAAAAAAACACGGGAAGAGCAACAGCGCGUUUGGUUUCUGCUCCAAGUCUAAAGUCUUCCAAGUUUGUGGAAUCAUUAGAAUGCUGAUGAUUGCUAUUCAGCCAAGCAAAGGAAACGCGGUUGCAGAGUGAUGAUACAUCCAAGUUCAUGACAUUUAUACUAGAGCACACGCCCAAGAAAAUGGCAAUGUAAAAACACGGAGAGGCGGAGGCAGUCGGCGGCCGCAGUGAGAGGUGUGCGAGCGCGAGGGCGGAGGUGGCGGACGCGGCACGAAUUGAAGAACCUCAAAACGCUGCGGCAAGCGGCAUCGCGGCCGAUGAACGGCGGGGUUGUACCCCUCAAGCCCCAUCCAACCAUCACCAAAUGCACUAUGCGGGAAGCCAUCUCCGGUGAGGUGUCCGGCGUCCCCGAACUUCUCCAGGAUCGAACGGCCAUCGGAAUCGGAGACAUUUACAACGCUGAUUGAGGUGUUAAGAAUUUUUCUGCCAACCGAGAUCGUUGGAUCGGCGUGCCUGCAGAUUUCCUCUAUGACUGCUCAUGGGAGACGACGACCACCCGCUUACCUGUUAACGCAACACGCGACAGCUUAAAAUUCACCACUAGGUGCAAGUUUUAACCAUACAGAGAGCACAAGAAAUUACUAUGUGGACCGGUGCUUACCCUUGUGCUUUUCGGCGAUUGCGUUCAAGCGGGACACAGCGCUCGGAAAGUUGAUCAAGACUCUCCCCGCCACCCUGUCCAAAAGGAGAUGACUAGUGAGUAAUAUAUAGCUUUUACUUUAACUAAGACUAAGGUCCCGUUUGGUAGGGCUUCUCAAAGUGCUUCUCCACCGGUUUUUGGUGAAGUCCUACUAAUGGGUCAAUUUCAAAACGGCUUCACCACCAAAGCCAGGGAGAAGCCGCAAAACGGCUUACACUAGAGAGGAGAAGCCAAAAAAAGUGGCUUCACCGGCUUCUCCUCCCUCUCCAAGCAUUAAGUGAUCAUAAAAUUACAUAUAUUGCCAUUGAGAAGCCGUUUUACCAAAUGUUUUGCAAAAUGGCUUCAGCUUCACUAAAAAAGCCACUCCACCGAAAAAGCCGAAGCCGAAGCGGAAAUUACAUAUAUUGCCAUUGAAAAAUUACUAUGUGGAUCGGUGCUUACCCUUGUGCUUCUCGGCGAUUGCAUUCAAGCGGGAAACACAGCGCUCGGAAAGUUGAUCAAGACUCUCCCCACCACCCUGUCCAAAAGGAGAUGACUAGUGAGUAAUAUAUAGCUUUUACUUCAACUAAGACUAAUUAAGUACAACUUUGAGAUCAGAGGAGAAUGGAAAUUAGUUACAGAUAUUUCUUGGUCCUGCCACCGUGAGCGAAAGCCUUGUAAGCUUCAGAUCUCUUGGCAUCGUCAAUGGUCCAACCUUGGAACAAUCCCAUGUGCCUUUCCGUCAGUGCCCGAUCAAUCACCAGCUGAAACAAACAGAAGUCCAUUUAUUCGGAUGAUAUAUAGAACACCAAUAAUUCGUGAAGCGAGAAAAAUUAGCACAAACUAAUACUAGUAUUCAAAGAAUGUUCAUACAUCAGAAUCAGAUACGCAGCGCGAGGACGGAGGUGGCGGACUAGGCACAAAUUGAAGAACCUCGAACGGCCGCGGCUAGCGGCAUCGCGGCCGUUGAACGACGGGGUUGUAGCCCUCAAGCCGCAUCUAACCGUCCACGGAUUUGGGCCAUUGAAUAGCUUAUUUUUUUUAAAGAACAGGAGGGUAAACCCCUACUGAUUAUAUAUUAAAUUGAAAGGAUACAAAGAAAAUGGCACAAAUCUAAAGAGAGAAAAUAAAAAAAAAGGAAGAGGAAGAGAAAAAGAAAAAAGGGAAAAAGACAAGCCUAGGAGUACAAGCUAAGAGAUUACAGAGUAUGUAACCAGACAUUCAUAGCAAGCACUAAAGCAGGGUGCGCUCUAUGGGGUAACAAGGAAAAUUCAGACAUGAAUUUCCUUUUGCACAAUUCCACUGAUGGAUUGAACAUCCAGUCAUUCCUAGUCAUCCAGAUGCUCCAUGACAUAAGAAUUAUGAUUUCCAUGAAGAAAGGAACAUGCUCCAUGACAUAAGAAUUAUGAUUUCCAUAAAGAAAGGAACAGCAAGCUUGUCCUUGAUUUGUUUGAAAAUCCGAAGGAUUGGUUUGGUGGUGAUAACUGAUACUCCAAUUGAAUUCCAGCAUGCUUUGGCAAAGUUACAUUGGAGGAAUAGGUGUGCCACAUAUUCCAUCUUUUGUAAUAUACAUAGUUCGCAAGUGUAGGAGUCAAGAUCCAUUUGUUUCCUUCUCAAUAUAUCUCUUGUACUCAGACGAUCUUUGAGCAAUAACUAGAAGAAGACCUUGUGUUUGAUCUGACAUUUAGAUUUCCAAAGUCAGAAAUAUGCUGGAUGGGUAUUCCUCUACCCAAUGAUAGCCUUAUAUGCUUUGGAUGUUGAAAACAUUGAAUUGCCCCAAAUGUAUGUACACCUAUCAGGUUCUUGUACGGUAUUCAUGCCAUCAAUGAGUUGUUGCAGGAUAUGGUAUUCAUGCCACCAAUGAGUUGCUGCAGGAUAAUAAAUUGUGAAUGUGCCUGGGUUGUUAGGGGUAAGUUGAAAUUCUGGAUGAAACUUGGUUAGUUGACAGCCGCUUUGAAGGUGAUGUUGUAGUCUUUGGCAAAUGAGAUAAGCUCCGGAUGAACCUGUGAUUGCACUGCUCCAUUCCAAAAGUCUUUUCAAAAGAGUACUGUGGAGCCUUCUGCCACUAGAACUGAAGCAAUUCCUUUGUAUGUAUCCAAUAAUUUGACUACAUCCCUCCAUCAAAAGGAGCCUUUUCUUUGCUAACCCAGUAGUCGACCAUUAGCAUAGUAAUUUUCCCAUACAAUGUUGACCCAAGGAGUGUCAACCUUGGAGAAGAACUUGUGCAGGAACUUUAGCAACAUAGCAUCAUUAUGUGUAGCAAGAUUGAAAACUCCCAAUCCACCUUGUUUCUUAGGCAAACAUACCAAAGGCCAAGCAGCUGUGGAAGGCUUCUUGGAGUUCAUGUCUGAUCCCCUCCAUAAGCAGUAUUUCCUAUAUUUGUGCAAUUUUAGCGUUGAUGUAUAGAAAACUACUGAUGAAGAGAAGACCGAGUUAACCAUCUCCAACUUGCCAACUUGACUCAAAAAAAGGGACAUGUUGCUUAACCUCUUUUCUAUCUUUUGUAUGAGGGGCAGAAAAUUUUCCAUGUUAGGCUUGGUGGUUCCUAGGGGCAGUCCCAGAUAUGUGAAGGGGAGAGAACCUUUUUGACAGUUAAAAGUUGUGGCAAGAUUCUCAAGAUUUGCUUCAGAAAUGUUUAGGGGUACUAUAGCCGAUUUACUAUAAUUGACCUUCAGUCCAGUGGAGGCAGCAAAGGUGCUAGGAAGGUCUUUGAGGAAUAAGUGCUGGUUUGGGCAGGCCUCCAUAACAAGUAGGGUGUCAUCUGCAUAUUGGAUAAUUGGAAAAUUUGUCCCUGCUCUUUCUGGAAUUGGUAGUUUAAGAAAUCCUUGGUCUUUGGCUCUAUUGAUGACUGAUUGAAGUAGGUCUGGUGCCAGGACAAAAAGAAGAGGUGAGAGGAGAUCACCUUCCCUUACUCCUCUUCUGAAGUGAAAGACUUUCCCUAGAACUCCAUUCAGAAGAAUUGAAGAUGUGUCUGAUCCUAGUAUGUCUUUGAUCCAAUUAAUCCAUCUAUCCCCGAAGCCUUGUGUUUUAGAAUUUGUAGAAUGUUCUGAUGUUCCAUCUUAUCAAAGGCUUUUCCAAAGUCUAGUUUCAGAAUCACUAAUUCUCUUUUAGAGGCCUUGCAGAUAUGUAGAUAUUCAAUGACCCAAGCCAGAUAGUCGUGUAUAGAUCUUGAUCUAAUAAAACCAUAUUGAUUUUUGUGGAUGAAUCUUAGGAUGACCUGCUGUAGCCUGUCUACAAGUAGCUUGGUGAGUAGCUUAAUUGUGGAGUUCAGGAGGGAAAUUGGUCCAAAGUCUCCAACUAAGGAUGGACAGUUCUUCUUGGGGAUCAGGAUGAUGUAUGAAGCAUUGAUGCUUCUUAGACAUAUAUUUCCUUCAAAAAAAAUCCUCACGGAGUUUGUAGAAGUCUUGAGAAAUUAGGUUCCAGCACUUCUUUAGGAACUCUACAUUAAAGCCAUUAGGUCUUGGGGACUUGUUGUUAGGGAGCUCUGUAAUUAUCUUAUUAAUUUCUUCUUAGGUAAAUGGACUUUCUAACCAGUCCAUAUUGUUGUCAACCCGAAGUAGAGAGUCAAGGUCAAAGUACAUGUGUGUAAACUUUGAGGUUCCUAUUCUUCCUUUAUAAGCGUUCCAGAGCAUUGCUGCCUUGGCUUCAUGGUCAAACACCUCACUUCUAGAAUCAUCUGUCAGAGAGGUAAUAGUGUUCUUCCUGUGUCUGAUCGACGCAUUGGCAUGGAAAAACUGAGUACACUUGAUGGGUCCAUAGACCCGGGGUUCCCAAUGGGCCUGCUUUUGCACAACACCUGGCCCAACGAGAGGUGCAGUGAUAAUGCACGCCUGGGCCGGCCCAAAUACGUGACGCCAGGCCGAGACCAUGAUCCAGCCACCGACCUGCAAUUCCGACUAGGAGGCCUGGUCGACGCCCCGACCAGAAGGCCUGGUCGGGGGCGGGACCACAGUCCGACUCCGACCAAGUUCCCCCAACUAGGGACACGCCAGACCUACGCAUACCACUCCUUCCCGACUGGCACGGUCGGGACUAUGGCGGAACUACCCAAAUUAACCUGACUAAAAUGCACUUAAGUCAUCUGACACGCGAUCAUGCACUUUAACCAAGUCAACUUGGUCAUCCGUUGGAUUUCAUCCGAUAAACCACUUACUCAGGAUCGAGAAGCAUUGCUCACAUGAAGGUGAGUGGCACAAAGAUUACAACAUUCCUAUCACAUUAACAUAGUUUGGAAGGUUGUAAACAACGAAGAAGUAAAACAAGCGGAAGCUACCCGACGAUACAUAAUACCAUGGAGAAGCCGACCAUGAUAUCAAUGACCCCUGUCCUCGCCAUCCGAGGAGGGAUCCCACUCGACUAUCCAACCCGGAGGGAGCUGGGUAGGCCAAGUGGUGCCAGCAGCCAAACUAUCGACAUUACCUGAAAAGUUAUGCCACAAGCAAGGCUGAGCAACUAAUACUCAGCAAGACUAACCUAAUAGGUGAUAACUAUUCACCGACUCCUAGACAUGCAAAACUUUUUGGUUGUGGGUUUGUUUUUGCCAAAACACCUAAAGUUGUCCUUACUUUCAACAUUUUAGCUCAAGUUCUAUGUUCAUUAACCAGACUAGAUUAGCAACUUAUACUAAACAAGCAUAGUUUCCAAACAAUUAAAGAACAAGCAUCAAGAUUAAAGUCAUCAUCAUAUUCCUUCUUUACUCAGUGCAGAAUAACGAUCAAGCAGUCCCAAACUAUGAGAGGCAGAUGAAUUAAUUUGAAUUUAUUAACCAUGCAUGGAGAACCUAAUCUCACGACAUCCGCGCACCACGAAGGGUCGCUUCACUUGUCAGCCGUCCCCAUCGAUCCCUAUGCACGUGUCAGGGCCAAACUUCCCUGGCAUGCAAUGCUGCACAGUCCCGGUCUCUUGUCGUACUGUGACGGCACUUGCACCCACAUGAUGCACCAUGGGAACCUCGUUCCAGGGACAGCAGGAGUAUAAGACACGCCCCAGUUCAAUCAGGUACUAGGCUUCCCUAUCCCAUACUAGGUAUGAGAUUAGUACUUUCAAACACUUGAUCAUGAACGCUGACAUGUUUUGACCUUAGCAAGUUCAUUACUAGACAGACAGGGCAAACCACCACAUUGGAACCAUUCCCGGUCCCGUCCGUCAUCCUUAUAGUUGUAGUAUGAGAAAACAAACAACUCCUAUAACUCGCGAGUGACAGGCAAUCACUCGACUUUUGCCAAGUCCUAUUUAGCACAACAACUACUCGACCUUAGCAACUAGUGUUCAGAUCAAAGGUACUAAAUUCAUGCAUCUACAGUUUCAAUCAACUCCUACAAACGUAAAUGCACAAUCAUAAUCAUCAAUAUAUUGCAUAAAUUUAAAACAGGGAAGCAUGCACCGGGGCUUGCCUUCAGGUUUAGAAAAAUUUAGCGGGUCUUCGGGGUCUUGAUCUAGCUCGGGCUCAACUUCCGUGUGAUGUAGCUCUGCGGCGUGUUCCUCUUCCAGUGUAGGGUGGAGCUCGUAGGUUCCGUCAGCGAUAUUAGCUUCUACACGACAUGCACAUGCAGAGAGUUCAAUUUUUCAUGCUUUCAUACGAAUGAUGUAAGACAUGACUUAUUGCUGAAAUGAAAGUUGCAUUUCGACCACAUUCACCUAAACAAGGUUUCAAAUUUCGUUACCUUCAUGAAGUAAGGUGUGUUGUGGUUUAAAACUAAGGGUUGACUUUGAUGGUGAUUGUGUACAUAUAUAAGAUUUCAUAACUUAGACUUCACAAGGAAAGUGAGGGUCGCUUUUAGGAUUGUUCGGGUUUCAUUUGGAAAGUCAUUUAUUUCUGAAUGUUUUUAUUGUACCUCUUCCAAAAAUCACCAAUUAAGUUUACUAGGACUUAACAUUUCCUUACUCAUUUAAACCGAUUCCUCAUCCAAAAUUUGUUUCCACAAACCAACACUAGCAUAUGACAUUGAGAAAUGAGCAGUACCUCACUCAUGUCAUCAAUGAGUUACUGUAAAAAUUUGGGAUCCAUUGAAUUAGCACAAAAAGAAUUAAAAUUACUUUAUUACCCAAGGGUAGCAUGCACUUAACCAUUUUUAUCUCAAAACCUACAGUGAUUCCGAGGGUGAAACUUUAACAGUGGGUUGAAGGUGUGUUAUAGAGACUUUGGUGAAUUUUUCAUGAUUUGUGGUGAAGGACAACUAUUUCCCAUAUUUUACUCCUAUUAUCUUGAUCUAAAAAGGAAAGUGGGUUUCAUCAAGCUUUAGUCAAGGUUUCAUAUUUUCCAUGUGAACUAAGCUUCAAAACUAAGCUACUCCAAGUGAUUUCAUAUUUUUCUCAGCUCUAGAUUAAAACUUAUGCAAAAAGAAAGAUUUAACCCUAGAUUUCAAAUAUAAAGCUAAAACAGUGAGUUAAAGUUCUACUCCAGGGUCUUCACUAUUUUUCCAAGCUUCCAUACUUAGAAACAUACACCAUAGAGUUGGAUUUAUCUUUUUAGUAUUUUUCUUUGAUUUACUAUGAUUUAAAAGGCCUAAGCAAGAAAUGAAACUAUAGGGUCUUAUUUCCAACAGUAACAUGGGCAAGAUUAUUUUUGUAUGAAACUGGAUAGUUCACUAAGUCCAACAAAAUUUAUUUGGCAUUUUCUAAUUUUUCUACGAUUUAUGGUGCAUUUACAAAGUUUAUUCUAUUUUCUAUCAAUUUAAAACAAUUAACCGAAAGAACUUACAAUCUAACCCUCGCGUCUAAGGUUUAAUCGUGCAGUGUUCUCUAGUUCUUGUGCUAAGGCCCCUAGAAAAAGAUAAAAGACACAGGGAGGCCCCUAGCGGCGGCCGUCGCCGAUCUUCGCCCGAUUUCGGCGAUGCAAGGCUUGGGCCUGGGCAAGAAGCUAUUGGGGAGAAGCGCGUUCUCACCUAGGGUCAAUUGGCGGCGGUUAGGACGUCGGAGAGGGCUCGGUGAAGGCGGAACGCCGUGGGGACGAGGAGCGGGUCGUGGCGAUGGUCCUCAAGGUGUUCCGGUGCCGGUAGUGCUCCGGGAGGGCAAUGGGCAGCUCGGGGACGUGCGUGGUGGAGCGGCGGAGCGAGCGGCGGUCUCGAUGGGGCGCGGGGCGGCACGGAGGUGGGGCUCCACGGGAGACCCGAGCGGCAGCCCAAGGAAAAUAGGGGAGCGGUGGUGCUAGAGCUAGCGGAGGGCGGUGUAGGCGGCACCAUAAGUCCUUUUAUAGGGCCAGGGGGAGCGGCGGGUCGAGGCGGGGCUCCGGACGUGGGAAGAUAAGAUCGGAGGGGCGCUGUGGGCUGCGGGUCGAAGCUCCAUUGGCGGCGGCGCCAUUGGUCGGGGUGCGGAGGCCGUGGGAUAGGAUCCCUCGGUCAUUGGCCUUGAGGGAUUCGAAGCGUGCAUGUAACAACCCUAGGUUAGCUAAACCCUGUUUAAACUUAAAUGAAGCAAUUAACAGCUGAUUAAACAAGUCAAGGGUCAACUUUGGCCCCUAAGAGCUUAAAUAUGUGAUUAAGUCAUAAGUUAAAUUUUUAUAUAACAGCCUGAAAUUUUAUCCAACUAAGAGUUGUUAAACUCAUCAUUUCUAACAACUUUUAUUAUAAGCAUUUUGUUUGAAAUUGAGUAGAAGAGAUCCAAAAACUCAGUUUAAAAUCAGAGGCUUUUCAAAUCACUCAAAAUCCUAAGUGCUGAAAGGCAUGAAAAAGUCCCAACUUUGGGGCUCUUUAUUUCAAAAUUUCUAAUAUAAAAUCAAGCUGAGCUCUAUACACAAGUUUUAGAACUUCAAGUGCUUAAUAACUUUGAUUUUUGGAGCUAGGCCAAAAUCUGCACAAAAGUUUUCAAACUUUAGGUCAAACACAGCCAGUUUGGUCAACACCGUCACACUCUGAAAAUCGUUCCAAGUCUGAAGUUUUCAGUUUUUGCCAAACAUUGAUGCAUUUUAUCUCCAAAACCGUUUGGAUUUUGAACAAAAACUUUAUGAAUAAAGUAAACUAGGGUGCUAGGCCUACAAGUUUUGUAAAGGAGGGUAGGGGCGAGCAGUUCAAAAAUUGGUAGUAAAUCAAGCCCCAAGACCGGUCCUCCGGCAUUUUUCGCGUUCCCGCCUAGCGUCAGAGAACGCACGCGCCAGAGCCCGCACCUCGCCCGCCGUGUGGCUCCACCUCACCGGCGAGCCCCGUCACCCAACCUGCGGCCGUGAGCUGACCCGACAAGCGCCGCCUCGCCUAAUAGCCUCGCUUGCCGCGACAGCCUCGACGCGCGCCUACAGUCGGUCGCACGCCCAGUCACCCGGCCCUCUGCUACGGGUGCAUGUCCCCGCACGCGCCGCAGACCGUCGCCGCCACUUCGCCCAACGCCCUCCCGCGACAAGAUGCCACAAGAGCCGAGCCUUGCCAAUGCGCCUCCCUAACAGCCCCGCUCAUUCGCGCACGCGAGCUCUUGCCCUAUCCUGCCGCACCGCCCGUCGGCGGCAAUGGCCACUGCCGAGCCUCGCCAAUGCGCCUCCCUAACAGCCCCGCUCGUCCUCGCACGCGAGCUCCUGCCCUAUGCUGCCGCACCGCCCGUCGGCGCCAAUGGCCGCCGCCAUGGCCGGUCCACCCGGCAGCACGCGCCUUGCCCCACUCUUCGGCUCCAGCUACAGACGCGUGCCUCGCCGCGGCUAUAAUACGCCCACCAGCCUGCCCGCACUCCCUUUCACAGCUCCGCGCACCCGCACCGCCGGAACGCCCACCUGAGCACGCCGCCGCCUAAGCUCCUCCAUGGAGAGCUAGCCUCCGCCGUGCGCCACCCCUCACCGGUGCCCCUAGCCACUUCGCCGCCACCUCGCGAAGCUGCUGCGCUUGCCCAUCUCCGCCGCCCAGACCCAGCCCCGCCGGAACACCAACGCCACCGCCCGCCGCCGCAGCCGAGCAAGCCGUCUCCGCGUGCUGCCACCGUCGGACCGCCCCGCCGCCCGCAACCGCCUCAAAUCAGUCGCAGGUGAGCCCCUGCGCCUCCCCGACCUCUUGUCACCCCAAUCCCGCUGGCUAAUCGCCGGAAUUCCGACCGGCCACCGCCGCCGGCCCGCCGAGGACUCGAUUGCAUUUGAAAAAUGCGAAUUAGGGGUCUCUGUGAAGUUUUGUUACAACCUAUGGGUGAUUAGUUGAAAACCCGAGGGCCCAACCGUAAGUCUACCUGAGAAAACCCGCGCGAGGACCUGUUUGUGUAUAGCGAGGGCAUGGUUGUGAAAUCCGAAAGUUUCUGAGGGCCUAGUUGCAAAUACGUUUCGGUUUAUAUUUUUAUAUCGGCAGAAUAUAUGUUUAACUUUGAAAAUUCACCAAAAUUCGUAGAAAAUUCAGCAAAAAGUCAAACCAAUUUUGCUAGACUCAGUAUAAGAGUAGUUUUUAAUAAAAAUACUUUUGGCACAUGUCUUUGUUAGAAUUAAAUUUAUAUGAUUUAAUCCUUGUUUAAGCUAUUUAAAUCAUAACAAAUCACAGAAAAAUGCUAAAAAGGGUAAAUCCAUUUCCCAAGUGGUUGUUUCAGAUAGUAGAAGCUUGGAAAAAUAAUUUUGGAGCCCAUCUCAGAUGUUUAAAUCUCUAUUUUAGUUUUAUCAUGUGUAUCUAAGGUUGUUUUCGUCUUUUGCAUUAUAAUUAAACCAGAGAUGAUAAAAAUAUGAAACAAAGCGUAAUAGGUCAGUAGUGUAGUAUAGUUUGUAGGAAAAACAUAGAACCUGAUUAGAAGCAUCAGAAAAACCACCUUCCUUUUUAGGGAGGAAUAAAUAGGGUAAAUGUAUAGAAAAAGAUGCCCUUCAUUAAAAAUUGUGAGAAAUUCACUAGAGGCUCUAUUUCACCCCUGGAACCUACUGUUAAAAUUUCGUGAUCAGUUUCAUCUUGGUUUCUGUUUUAAUAAUGUUUAAGUAUAUGCUACCUUAGGGUAAUUGAGUAAUGCUAAUUCUUUUCAUGCACCUCCAAUGGAUCUCAAACUUAUGCAGUAUCUUAUCCUUGCCAAAGUUAAGUUACUGGUAUAUUUUCAGCUUCAUAGCUUGCUGUUAAAGAUGGAAAUAAAAUUGCAAGAUGAGCCUAGCUAAAUGAAAGAAAGAAACCUUAAUUAAUGAUAAAGGUAUUUUUUUAGGAGAGGUACAAAAGAACAUUCAGAAACAGGAUAACUUUCCGAUCUAAAGUUUAACAAGAUAGUGCAUAUAUGUACACAAUCACCAUCAAAUCAACCCCAGGCUUGUACCACACCCCACCUUCCGCGUGUAGAUAAAGAAGGUGUAAAACCUUGUUCAAGUGAAUGUGGCCCUAAUAUAACUACUUCUUCAGUACUAACUCGUGUUUUACAUCCUAUGAAAAAGUUUGGGAAUUUUUAACUUGAUGCAUUGCAUUUCGUGUAGACCUGAACCUCGCUGACGGGACUUACGAGCUUCACCCGGCGCCAGAAGGAGCCAUAGCGGAUCUGCAGCAAGUCAGAGCCGAGCCCGUACCAAAACAAGCCGAGGACCAGUUCGCUAACUCCCCGUGUGAAGGCAAGCCCCAGAGCAUGAAUUCCUAUCUUUAAAUACCUGCAAUACAAUUGAUUGCUUUGAUUGCGCAUUUACGUUCUAGGAGUUGAUUAACACCGUAGAUGCAUGAAUUUAGUACCAUUGAUAUGAACACUAGUAUAUUAAGUCGAGUAGUUGCAAUACUUAAUAGGACUCGAUAAAAGUCGAGUAAUUUCCUGUCACUCGCGAGUUAUAUAAGUUGAUUGCUUUACUUAUGUUGCAACUAUAAGGACGAUGGACGGGGAUGGGCUUAUGUUUGGUACUCGGUGGUUUGCCCCGUCUGUCUACAUGAAAUUGGACUAAGGUCGAGAUUUGAUAGUGUUCGUGAUCAAGUAUUUGAAAGUACUAAUCUCAUACCUAGUAUGGGAUGGGGAAGCCUAGUACCUGAUUGAACCAGGACGUGAGCGGAUCGUUCCACUGUCUCUGGAAACUGAGUUCUCCCCUGAUGCAUCAUGUGGUGACAAGUGCGGUCAUAGAACGGCGGAGGCCUGGUCUAUAGAGCCUUGUACCAAGGGAAGUGGGCCCGACACAGGUUUGGGAAUUGAUGGGGGUGGCUGACAAAUGAAGUGACCCUUCGCGGUGCACGGAUGUCAUGGGAUUAGGUUCACCAUACAUGGUUAAGAAAUUCGAAUCGAUUCAUCAGCCUCUCACAGUUUGGGAGUACUUGAUCGCUAUGCUACACUGAGUAAGAAUGAAAGAUAGUGAUGACCUAAUAUGGUUACUUGCUAUUAAUUAUUUGGAAACUAUGCUUGUUUAGUAUAGUUGCUAACUUAGAUUGGUAAAUGAACAUAGAACUUGUGGCUAAAAUAUUGAAAGUAAGCACCUACAUUAGUCGCUUUUGGCAAAAACAAACCCUAGAGCCAAAAAGCUUGCAUGUCUAGGUGUUGGUGGAGUAGUACCACCGGUCGGUUAAGUCUUGUUGAGCGUAGUCGCUCAGCCUUGUUGUGGCAUAUCUCUUUUCAAGUGAUGUUGAUACCUCUGAGUUCGAUGCAAGUGGCACUUGGCCUGCCCAACUUGCUCCGGGUUGGACGGUCGAGUGGGAUCCCUCCUCGGACAGCAAGGAUAAGGAUCAUUGAUGUCAUGACCGGCUUCUUCAUGAAGAUCAUGCAACAAUGUCUAGCUUUCGCUUAUUUAUUUCCGCUGCUUGAAAACUCUGCAAACUUGUUGAAUUUCGGAACUCAUGUUAUAAUAAUUCAAUGCACUUUGUUAAAUCUGGAUGGACUGUUGUAAUCUCUGUAACCACUCACCAUCGUGUGAGUCUUGCUUUAUCGAUCCUGAGUUAAGUGGUUUAUCGGAUGAAAUCCGACGGACGACCAAGUUGACUUGUUUAAAGUACAUGAUCGCGUGUUAGGUGACUUAAGUGUGCUUUAGCCAUGUUAAUUUGGGCGGUUCCGCCACAGCGCAAGCGUGGCUUUGCCGCGGUCGUGGGUUGUGGAGCGAGGCACUCGUGCGGUCACUGUCCGGGCAUCGAUAGGCGAACGGAGCUUGGCCGGUCCGAGGCGGUGGCGUGGCAUCCUCUGGCGGGCGGAGCUAGCUCAAGACGGGGCGAAGGGCAUGCGUGGCAUCAGGGAGCGGGAUAAGCGCGCUCGCCUACUAGGCAGCCGAGCGCGCGAGUUGUUGUGUCGCGGCCGUCGGUUGGGCGACGGUGAGCUCGCCAGUUGAUGGCGGCCACGCGGCGGGUAGCGUGCGGGAACGCGCGUCGCGGCGCACUCUGGCCGAGGGCGUCGCAAGGUAGGGGGAAAAGGCUAGGUUUGGGGGAUUUUUGUUAAAACUUUUUCAAAAGAACCCGUGAAACUCCAAAAGUAAAACAUGUAGUCCUAACGUCCAGCUCCAAACUUUACAAAAAGAGUUUGCUUAAAUUCGAUAUGGAUUUGAACCUAUGGAUUUGCAAAGUUCGGCAGAACGUCAGCCUCCUAGGACUUAGACAGAUUUUGGUUUUGCUGUUUUUAAGCAUUUUGGCCAACUUUGGCUCAGAUUUUGAGUAGCUUCCCAUUUGAAUCAUGCCAAGCUAUAAUUGAAGGAAUUGUUCUUCGAUCUUAGGACUCCAACUCCUAGUAAGGACUUUUCUCAGGUUCAGUUCAAUUUUUAGGAGAAACAGGCUUGCCAACAUGCGUGCUCUGGGUGUCCUUCCAGACUUAGCGCAGAAAAGCAUUUGUGCUAGCUUGACUAUUUUGAGCGACAUUGACCAAGAUUUUGAAUAGGUUUGGUUGUGAAUUAGACUUGGGUCAGUAUAACAAAGUUGUAACACACUCGCGGAACUACAACUUCUAUUAGGGGUUUGACUCGAGGUUAGAUAUAGAAUUGUGAGAUAAUAGGUUGCAAAGUAGAGGAAAAACAUGAGUUCCAGGACUUACGUUAUUUGCAGGAUUUUGAUGUACUCCUGAUUUGACUCUUAUUUUUGACCUUCUUCCACUCCAAAUUAGCCGAUGUGUUAUUAAUAAAAUUUGUUUGAAAUUAAAAGUUUUACAACUCCUAUUUGGGCAAAAAUUCAAGUUUGUAUACAAAAACUCAAGUUUCCUAUUUAACCCCAAAAGGAGAUUUUUAGGGGCAAAUUGGACAUUUCACUUCUUCUACUUAGUGACUAAUGACUUUAUUAAGUAUAACUACACCUAAUUAAGGUAGAAUUGUUACAGGGAUCGACCAGGACAACUGACAGGGGAUGCCCACUUGGUGUGGACCCAGGGAGUAGGUUAAGCAGAUAAAGGAAAACACAAAGGUCAACCACUGUACAGAGGACCAUACCUAGCCAUGCCCUGCGCAAACGCCGCACAGUGCCACCGUGCAAUGUCAGGCGAACACUGUGCUACCUGACCGUCACAACGGAGCAUGAACAAGGAUGGAGUGCGAUGGUCAUACUGUACCCGGCGACGUGGGCAACGACAAGACUAGGCAGCGCUCGUACUCUCUCUCUCUCUAACUUGUAAGGCUGUCCCCUUGGACUAUAAAAGGGGAUGGGCCCUCUCUCUCCCAAAUAGGUGAAGCGUCCCCACAUCAGCGGAGACUAAAUGUGAUAGAAAUAUCAGUCCCAGGAGGCUGAUAACACAUUUAUUCGACAGAUGGUUCAAAAACCGUACAACUCCCGAAGGAGCGGGCGGGCAAGCCACACCCAAAGAAGAACUAAACCAAUAACGAUACAAAUCCAAGUUGCAGUCCAGUCGGACUCCGGGCUGCAAUCGGAACUAAGCGUCAGCGGAAGCAUUCUGCAAAAGCCAACACCACAGGCAGCGUUGGGUGCGGACACGACCUCCUACUCGAGAUCCUUGGCGAUGUAGUCUGGGUCUUCCUCUGAAGCAACAAAACAAGGGUGAGUACGAAGGUACUCAACAAGUCCAACCCCAUCCACGGAGGGGGAUACAAACAAGAGUAUGCACAGGAUAUAACAAGGAUAAGGUUAAGGUUCAUUUGCAACAAAGCUAGAUUUUCAACACAUGCAGAGGUUCAUUUCCAAAAGAGUUUUUGCAAAGCAUUUCCUUUAUUAACCGAAACAUUAAGUGGGGUUGAUCCUACACAAAGGAUCCAAAUUUUAUUGCUAUCGGACUCCCCGUCCGCCAUAGCUCAUGACACAACUGCCGGACACUUCCAAAGUCCAACACACGCCAUAAAAACCAUCCAUCUCCAAGUGCUAGUUAUGUGACCAAGCCGUAACUCGUCCAAUCCCAUGGACACAGCUACCCGGAUAGGUUUUAACUCUGCAGAGGUUGUACACUUUUCCCUCAAGUAGGGUACCGCAGUACGAUCACCUUAGUGCCAGUGCGAAUCCUAACAAAGCCAUUACCCACCUUAGCUAAGAAUGACUAGUCCACACGGAAGCAACCAAGGGGUUAAUGACAUACCAACGAGGUUGUAACCGGGACCUAAGUCACAAAGAUCUUACUCCUUUUUCAUGGGCUGCCGUUGCUCACUAGCUCACCCGAAGACUAACAGUUUAGCUAGUGGGAUUUAUGCUAAGCCGUUGCCGCAUACAAUGGAGUGGUUGCACGAAGGUUGGGUUAGGCAAGAUGACACAUUAACUUGGUCCUUAACCAUGACAAGAUGGAUAUCUCCCAACCUUGCUCAAGCACCAAGGUACGAGCCCAACAUAUUGGCAUUUCACACCUGAAACACCCAUCCAUCUCAUCUAAGCAUUUCUUUCCUUUACUUCCAAAAAACCCAAUUUCCCUUUUUAAAAUACUCACACAUUUAUUUUUUAACAAAACACAUUAUGGUCAUGACUGAAUUGAGUAACAAGGUCCUAAGCAUUCUAGCAGUAAUUAUCAUCCAAACAGAGCAAGUCAUAUUUAGAGAUAGUUAUAGGACAAGCAAGGAAUAAUCAUAACAAUCAAGGGGUGGCUAUCCAACCAUGUUUCGGCGGUAAAAUAAUAUGCAAUUUAUAAAAUAGGCCAAUAUGUUGUGUUUGAAAAACUAGGAUAAAUAUGCAUCAAAGGGUGAGAUUGGACUUGCCGUUCUCAAAGCCUUCCGGGAGUUCCUGCUCGCGGUACUGGUCCUCGGGCUCGGGCUCAUGGUCAAACUCCUCCUCAUGCUCCUCCUUGGGUACUCCACGAUCUAAGCACACACAAUCGAGCACACAAUAAAUAAAAGAGAAUUAAAAAUUUUCCCAUUGAGCUACGAACAGAGAAUGCGAACGGAAAAUUGAAGGAGUGAGCAUUUUCAUGAAAUUUGGAUAUGCCUCAGUGGAAGUAUAUGGGAGGAGGCCGUGAUCGAAUUUGGGAUCAAUUGGAGGAAGUUUGGCGCAUGAAAUGAUGAGUUAAAGGAGUGUUAGGGGCUUAAAUCAAGGUUUAGGACUAAACUGCGAGAACUAGGGACCUAUUUGUAAUAAUUUCCGAAAGGUGGAAGGGCGUAUCCGUGAGAUUUCUUUGAGAGAGGUGGGAGGGCUGGUUUGCAAAUAGGGGAAACUAGGAGGUUAGAUCGAAAUGGAGGCCUUCUUCUUCCUUGGGCCGAGACAGAGAGAUUGGAGGGGAGGGAAACCGGUGGGGGGGCCGGCCGGCCGGGCCUCACCGGCGGCAAGCUGAGUGGUGGGGGAGGUAGAGGGGGACGAGGGCGUCCCGUUUGAGGUUUCACCUCGGGCGGAUGGUGGCCGGAGAUGGGGCGUCGGCGGCGGGCAAAGGAGGCGGCGGCGGAGCUCCUGACAGCGGCGCACAGGGCGGUGGGGAAGGGGGUGACGAGCUAGGGGGGAGAUGCUGGUGGUGUGGGGAGGCGGCAGGGGCUCGGCCCCCUUUUUAUAGGCGGCGAGGAGGAGCUCGAUGGCCAGCGGCCUUCAAUGGUGGCCGAGAAUCCCGGUCGGUGGCGUGCCGGAGCGGAGCUCCACGUGGACGGCGUGGUGGGGCUGGCUCGGUCGACGAGGAGCACAGGAGGCACACAGGGGUGGUGGCCGGCGUGGCGUGCGGCCGGUGCUCAUCGGGCGGGGCCGGCCAGGCGCAGGCGGUGGCGUGCGGCUCGACGCGCGAGGCCGGGCGCGGGCGCGGAGCCGGACUAGGCGCAGGCGCGGGGCCGGCACGGGCCAGGCGCAGGAGCCGGGGCCGGGUGAGCGGUGCCAGGCGCCAGACGCCAGGGAGGCGGCGCUAGGGAGAGGAGAGGAAAGAGAGGAGGAGGGAGGAGGAAGAAGGAAGAAAGAGAAGGAAGGAAGGGAAAAAAGAAAAGGGGGAAAAGGAAAAGGAAAAAGGGAAAUCGGCGAUAGUUGCGGAAUUGGUCGGGCACGCGUGACGGAUUUGACGAGCACGCGGCUAAAUUUGCGGGGAACGGAAAAAGAUGAUUGUCGAUGUUGGGUGCCGGGAUGGCGGGUCGCCGAGAAGGAAAAGAUUUUUCGGGAGCUCAAUGGUCGAAAGAUUUUGAAAUAAAUUUUUUAGCGGGUGAUUUGAGUUAGUAAAUUUUACGGACAUUACAAUAGGCCAUACACAUGAGGCACAUCAAAAACCCUCUGAUUCUCUCCAGCACAUAGCACACGCUUUAAGCCCCCCGUCACUCUCUUCCACUUGGACCAGAGCACGACCGGGUCUCGGACACCCCCUUCUCACCCCCAACUCGUUUGUACCCCAACUACAAACUUGGAGCACCUGGGCUUAGGAAUACAGUCAACCAACUGACCUCGAACUGAACGUAGGUCACGUAGCCCGAACCAGUAUAAAACCUGUGUCAUUGUGUGCUAGGCCAUUCCGAUCUAACGCACGGCAAAACUACUAACAUUUACUUGUCGGCCAGAUUCCGCCCCGACAGCACUCAUCUCCAAACUUAACCCAUUUGAUUGUUCCUCUUUGCUUCCAUUAGAUCUUUUGUUGGUGAAGAAGGUUCUGUAAGUGAUUCCUAAUUAUGUGCCUAAAGAUCCAUUUUUCUAAGGUUAAAUCUCAUUGUUCUUCCAUAAUGUUCAGGAGCUGGAUCAAGUCUUUGCAGUUCCUGAUGGUAGCUGGUAAAUUUGGUAGUUGUGCUUUUCAAGCAUUUAACACUCUCCCCUUAGGUUCUUAAAUUUUGCACUUAUCGUCUUGGUACUAUCAAUUUGAGGGUUGGGCAAAUUCCAUCCAUGUUAUAGAACUAGCACAAAAUUCUCAUGUUCCAACCAAUAGCUUUCAAAUCUGAAUAUCCUAGGCUUAGGAACAUUUGUGCUUGCCGUGAUGGUACAUGGAGUGUGAUAUGAGAUGUCUCUGGACAACCCUGAGGCAAAGGAGUUUCAAAAAAUAGUUGUCCAAGCAUUAGAUGUGAAGAACCAGUCUAAUCUUUCCAGUAAAGGAUUCUGUUGCUUGUUUGUCCAGGUAAAUUUGCAUCCUCUAAAGGGCAAUUCCACUAAACUAAGGUUGCUAAUGGUUUCAUUAAAAGCCAGCAUUUCCUGAAGAUUACCCCUAGCUUAUUCCUAUCUUCUCCUAUCUUCAAGCUUCCUGAUGAGGUUGAAGUCUCAGCCAUUUUUCGUCAUCAGGCAUAUUAAUCCUUUUGAACCAGUUCAAAAAUGCGGUUUUGCCUUCUCUAGUACAGGGUGCAUAGAUAUUGGUUAGGAUCCAGUUUUCUCCAAUCUACCUACAUGAGAAUUAUACUGAUUGGGCAUAAUCAUUUUGAAAGUCCAAGUGACCACUGAACUUGGAACUGUUCCAGAUAAUGUUAGUCCCUCCUGAGUUACCCACUAAUAGUAAGAACACAUAAUCAUCCAUAUAUGCUGGAUAGAAAUUUUAACAUAUGUAAUAUCGAAGAAUUCUUUCUAAGUUUCUUGUAGACAUAGAAUAUCACAUUUGGAUUUACAAAUCUUGCUUUUGACCGCAUCCCAUUUCCCAUCAGAGUUAAUACCUCUAAUAUUCCACGAUAGAAUGACCCAAUUCCUUUUAUGUUGUCCCUGAUUAUAGAUGCUCAUUGAUGAGAAGCCCAACAAAUCGCAUGUGUAAGAUACAAUUAUCCACAGGAUGUCCAAACCGAAAUAAAUAAACAUUCUAAUUAAGAUAAAGAUCACCAGGAUCAACCACAUGUUCAUAAGGGAUAAUAAAGAAGUCCACAUCCCCAAGACAUUACAGUUUAACAAAAUCUCAACCAUUCCCAUCAUGAUACAGGAUAAACUAAUAAUGAAGAUAGCAAAUAAGAUCUUGCUACUUCUUGAUCUUCUUGCGUGAUUCCUCGGAUUCAAUCUCAUCGAUCUUCUCUUUGCUUUUCUCUCUCUUGGAGUUGAUUACCUUCCUGGAGGUCUUGUGGCUUCCAAUGACUUGCUUGUUCUUGCCUUUGUUGCAUAAUGCAUCCUCAGACAGAGCUUGUUGAAUAGCUUGUUCAGGUCCACUCUGCGGGAAGCCAUCUCCGGUGAGAUGUUCGGCGUCUCCGAACUUCUCCAGGAUCCAGCGGCUAUCGGAACCGGAGACAUGGACAACACUGAUUGAGGUGUUAGGAAUUUUCCUGCCAACCGAGAUCGUUGGAUCGGCAUGCCUGCAGAUUUCCUCUAUGACUGCCUCAUGAGAGACGACGACCACCCGCUCACCUGUUGAUGCAACACACGACAGCUUGAAAUUCACCACCGGGUACAAGUUUUGACCAUACAGCAGAGAGCACCAGAAAUUACUAUGUGGAUCGGUGCUUACCCUUGUGCUUCUCGGCGAUUGCAUUCAAGCGGGAAACACAGCGCUCGGAAAGUUGAUCAAGACUCUCCCCACCACCCUGUCCAAAAGGAGAUGACUAGUGAGUAAUAUAUAGCUUUUACUUCAACUAAGACUAAUUAAGUACAACUUCGAGAUCAGAGGAGAAUGGAAAUUAGUUACAGGUAUUUCUUGGUCUCUGCCACCACGUGCGAAAGCCUUGUAAGCUUCAGAUCUCUUGGCAUCGUCAAUGGUCCAACCUUGGAACAAUCCCAUGUGCCUUUCCGUCAGUGCCCGAUCAAUCACCAGCUGAAACAGCACAGAAGCCCAUUUAUUCGGAUGAUAUAUAGAACACGAAUUCGUGAAGCGAGAAAAAUUAGCACAUCAAAAAACGUUCAUACAUCAGAAUCAGAUACGCAGCAAUGCGCUGCGAUCGUUUGCGCAGUCUGGGAAGCACGCUUCAAGUCAGAGGAGUAGACGGCAGCUGGCUUGGCUUCUUCCGACAGACGACGGGCAACCUUGAGGGUUUGAACAAAAUCAGAAUCACGUACAUAAUCUCAAGUCAUGACGAUCUCACAAAGUAUGGCGUACCUUGGCAGCUUGCUGCCUACCAGUUUCGUUCAGCUCCUGAUCGAUCCGUCCCUGUUGAAACUUAAAAUAAGCCUUAACACAUGUUGUAUUGCAUCGCAGAGGGAGAAUCAUAUCUAAGUGAUGCGAUAAGUAGCAAGCUGUGACAGGACAGGAUGAACAAGAAGCGACCUGAAUGAUGCGGGAGACGUUCCAAUCCGUCUGUCCAUGGCGCACCAACACCACCUCCGCGAAGUGCUCGCCGUGCGUCGAUGCAGGUGCCAUGAUCGAUCGGCCGGCGUUACUGCUGCAGAGGGAAGGGGAGAUGGAUGGUCUGGAACCUCUCUGAUGCUGUAUGAUCUAGCUGCCCUGCAGAGGGAAGGGGCGACUUUAUGGAGGCCAGAGGCACAAGGGAGGAAACGCCGCGGCGAAGACCUGGGAUUUCCCUCGACAGCACCAGGAGGCCAUCUCCAUGUACGAUUGUUGCUUGGACUCCAAUGCAUCUCCAUGUACGCGACCACGGCGAAAAGGCCAUUUCCGUCGAGCGCACCUCCAUGCGACGGUGGCGGGGGGUUGACUAAAAAAUUAGAAACACGGUUUGAGCCACAACAGCCAUUCCAACAGCAGCUUCCGGAAGGCUCUGGAAGGCUCUGGAAUCACAAGCAUAAUUCGUGUACGUUUUGAAGAUGGAAAGAUGGCGACCUGCUAGUUGACUUCCAACAGCAGGUUUGGGCAACACGCCAUUCCAGCAGCAGGUUUGGGCAACGCCAUUCGAGGAUCGGCUUCUCCAGGAAGUACGUGGCCAACUAAUAUAACCUGCAGUUGGUCGGCGGACCAAAUUAAAGAAGCUAUCCACUUUCUUCUGCAUCAAGACCUCCUGUUAACCGGCCCCAUCCACUUUCUUCUCCAUCAAGACCUCCGGGGUCCUGCGCGGACCAUUGGCGCGGCCACGUCGCCCUGUUUUCCCGACGUCGGAUCGUGCGAUCCCGUAGGCAUGUGGAAUUUUGCAAAAAAAACCUUCAGUUCUCCGCUAAUCUACUUCGGGUUUAGGGAGGACCCUCGCCAACUGUAACCACGUUCAAUUUAUUUGCGGCACACCCCUUUGGUUAAAUAAUAUUUCAACAUCAAGAAGAGAAAAUUCCAAUUCUGCGUCGCUUUUGAAAAAAACCACCUGCCUAUCAUUUUGCGAAGAACCCCACCGCAACCUCGCAGCAACACACACUUGGCCCCAAGCCACCGCUCCCUCCCAAUUCUCUCCACAUCCCCCUCUCUCUAACCCUCCCGCCCUACCUGACGGCUGCCGCACACUUUAGUUGGCAUUGUUAGUGUCUUUUGAUGUUCUUAAUGCCUGCUACUGGUUCAGAUUUAUUUCUUUCCCCUUCUGUAUUUAACUAGGUUUGGUAGUAGCUUGUAGCCUUGCCUUUAUUCAACCCUAGCACCAGUAAAUGUAGGCCAUGGAGUUAUAAAAAAUUGAUAAACCAGCCACUUCAAUAAAUUGGUGUCUCCCAAUUCUAACUCUUGGUGCUUAUACCAAAAGCAAGCAUCGGACUGAAUAUUUCUGCAAAAAAUUAGCUUCAAGAUCGCUAUCUACGAUAUUUCGAUCAUUUGAUUUCUUUUCCUUUUCUUUUUUUUUGCGAAACACCAUUUGAUUUCUUGAUGGUGAUGAGUUAACUGUGUUGUGAGGUGAGAUAAUCCAUUGUCUCAAAUCAUUCCUGAUGUUGAGACCUUUAGUAAAAUGGCAUUUUGAGAAUAUUGUGGAUUGCUUUAAUUUUUACAGCUAGUGCUUGCAAACUCUGUAUGUGUCAUUCAGACAGCUUGAUUGCAUAUGACCUUCCUCAACAAUACAUUCAUUUUAUGACAUGCUUUUCAGGUUAGGUUGGAGAAAAAGAGGGCAAACUGAAGAUUGCGCUAAUGAAAACAAAUUUUCAGCUUAUGCUCCAAUAAUUUUCUAAAUCCUAUUAUCAUUAAUUAGUUUGAAGAAACGAUGGGAUCUGUAACCUGGUAAAGCUACCCAUUUAUAUGGAGACUCAAAAGACUUUCUAAUUUGCGCAGGUCAGCAGUGAUUAAAACAUUGCAUAAUUCUUUCUAUUUAUUACCAUGUAGUUUCAGCUUUUGUACCCGUUGAUUUGUCUAUGAAAUUAUGUGCACCGGAUUAAGGAAAGGUUAUGCCAAAAAUGGUGCUAGCUCAAUGACAACAAGACGUGAGCAAUAUAACCUAAUUAUCCAAUUUUGGUUGGUGGACAUGUGAUUUCCACCGUCGAAACUCCAAAAUUACAUUAAAAAUUGGGCCGGAGAAAUUAUUACACAGCUGUUUACCGCACUAAACAAUGAACUUUCGUGGCAAAAGAAAAUAAUAAAAUGAAGGGUCGUAGACAUGCCUGUUUCCAAUUUCUCUCUUGACAGGCCAACAGACCAACAUUGAUGAGAGGGCUACUUAGACUCCCUGAUACAUUUCUCCUAGGAGAGGCCUCGGAAUCUGCUGAAUGUCUAACUGAAGGACUCUAUAGAAUAAAAGAGAAUGUCUGUAAGUAAUAAUCAUCAAAUUUAUUUGUUGAAAGCCUGCAUCAAUCAUCAAUUACACUGCAUUGUGUUAACGGUAGGCCAUGUUAGCUAUUAUGUAUCCAAAAAGAUCAAAUUAAAUUUGAACCAGAGAAUCAAGAAAGAGAUGAAACAGAUGAAACGACCUACUAUGAGCCAAGAAAUUAUCUGUAUGUUUAAACUCUGAAUUAUCAAACAAUUCUAAAUUAAGCUGGUUUACAUAAAAGGAAAAGGUGUGUACUCCGUAUGAGCAUGGGCUUCCUAUUUUUAAGUUUUAAACCUGCUGAAUCAGAACGAUUUUAUGGCAUAGAGGUACUGAAUUACUGAUAAAGAAAACAUUGCAGAGAACAGUAACAUAUACACAAUGAAGGCGGAUCGCACAGAUGGUAGCAUGGCGCAGGGUAAGAAGAAGGCACGGAGCGGCGUUUUUUUUUAAAUUGAUUUAAUUUAGAAUAAAUACCACAGCAUUCUCACGUGGUACCUCUGCUGCUGCACAAAUUAUAGCAAAGACCGUCCGCCGCACGCGUACUGCUUCUACACAGUCCCGUGUCAUAGGCACACCGCACACACGUAUGGCUGCACUACAAAGCCGUUCCCCUGCCGAUGCAGAAGCAGCAAGCCAGCAUUAUUAGGGUAGAAUCAAACACUUUACACUUCAGGGUUACAUUCACAACUGCCUAUGAGCAGGCAUUUACAAGCAGCAGUGCAAUGCUUCAAAUUUCAGUGUGGUAUUGUUUACCCACAGAGGAAUUUCUAUACAAGUUCAUUAUCAUUGCACUGACAAGUGAGAGCAUUGUAGUAAUGGAAGAAUGGAGGCAUGUUCAAGCGUAUCAAGGACUCGAGGUAGCCGAUUGUAUUGCCGUACGAACAAGAGCAGAGCAGCAUGUUUUCUUGCCAUCGCCGCCAAAUGCACUCUGCAGAAAGCCAUCUUCAUUGAUGUGGCCGACGUCCCCGAGCUUCUCAAGGAUCCAAUGGCCGUUCUCACCGGAAAUAUGGAUCUCGCUGAUUGAAGUGUUGGGGAUUCUUCUGCGAACCAAUGUCGUCAUUGGAUUGGCGUGCCUGCAGAUUUCCUCUAUGGUGGCGCCAUGGGAGACCACAACCACACGCUCCCCUGCGAAUGCAACAUGUCAGCGCAACAGCGUAAAUAACGGUUCCAGUUUGGAGUUUGGAGUUGAUGAAGAAUUGGCAGCCAUAGUUAUGCAUCAUCAGGUGCAGGUUUUGACGGAGCUAGUAGCACUACUGUAAAUUGGACCUAGGUUUUAUCUGCUGCAUUGUACUGAAUACAGAUAGCACGAAGGAAUUGAGAAGCUAAAGAGUAAUCUGAAUCAGAUCAUUGCUUACCCUUGUGCUUGUCAGCUAUCAUGUUCAAGUAGGAAACACGGCGCUUGGAAAGUUGAUCAAGACUCUCCCCACCACCCUACCAAAAAAAUGAACGGAUUAGAUAACUAGUAUACAGCAACCAGAAGGAAAAAUGACUGUCACUGAUUCAGAAGGAUUCAAGGUAGCUUUGGGAGGAGAAUGGAAGUUAGUUACAGGAAUUUCUUGGUUUCGGUCAUCUGAUGAGAAAGCCUUUUUAUCGCCCAACAGCAGCAAUGCGUCAACCACAGUGUUAUAAAUCUGCACAUUGGGGGGCAAUCCUCUCACCCUCAUCUCCCCAAGCAAACUCCCAAUCGUCUCCAGAUCACCUUUCCUCCCGAGCCAGUUAACAAUAGAACCAUAUGUCACCACAGUUGGCAAAAAUCCUUUCGUGUCCAUAUCGCCCAACAAAAGCAAUGCCUUCCCAAUGUCCCCGCGCCGGCACAUUGUAGAACACGGCGUGCGGAAUGCACUCAGCUCCCCACCUCGCCUCAAUCAGCUUCAUCCCCUCCUCCACCCGCCCUUCCAAGCACAUCCCUCUGACCAUCGCGCAGGUGCUGUAGUUAUCCGCGCCGCCCUCCUCCGCAAGCAUUUCGUCAUACAGCUUCCGGGCAUCCUCCCAUCGCAGGCGCUCCACGAGAAGCCUGAGCAGGCGGUUGCAGUGCCUCGCCUCCGGGAGCGUGCUGUGCAUCUCCCUGGCGCGAGCGCACGUCUCGGCGGCCUUCCCUUCCAUCCCGGCGUCCGCGGGAGCGGGGUGAUGCGGGGCAGGAGCGGCGGCCGCGGCGCGAGGUGUGGGAGCGUUUAGAGAAAAAGGAAAGAAAGAAAGAAGAAUGGCUAGUUCAGUUGCUCGGUCCACAUUGGAACUGCUGCUUCUUCUCCUUGGUAGUGCUUCUGCUAACUUUCCAAAAAAAAAAUACUUCACUGAAAAUAAAAUAAAAGUUCACUGACAAAUGAGAGCAUUGUAGCCAUGAAGGAACGAAUUUACUAUAUGAUACGGUAGUGUUUCUAUUAACUUUCAAAAAAAAUACAUUUCACAAAUUACAGGGUGAUUGACUAAAAAUAGAAGUUCUCACGGACAAAUGAGCUACAAUGGAGGAAGGAAUGAAGGCAUCACCUAUGCUUUAACAGUCUGUAUGAACAUGAGCAGCAUAUUUUCGGUUACAAUGUACUCUGCGGGAAGCCAUCUCCGAUGAGGUGUCCGGCGUCCCCGAACUUCUCCAGGAUCCAGCGGCCAUCGGAACCGGAGAUAUGGACAACGCUGAUUGAGGUGUUAGGAAUUUUCCUGCCAACCGAGAUCGUUGGAUCGGCGUGCCUGCAGAUUUCCUCUAUGACUGCCUCAUGGGAGACGACGACCACCCGCUCACCUGUUAACGCAACACGCGACAGCUUCAGUGUGCAGCUUGAAAUUCAUCACCAGGUGCAAGUUUUGACCACACAGAGAGCACAAGAAAUUACUACGUGAAUCGGUGCUUACCCUUAUGCUUCUCGGCGAUUGCGUUCAAGCGGGGAACUAAGCGCUCGGAAAGUUGAUCAAGACUCUCCCCACCACCCUGUUCAGAAGGAGAUCAUGAGUAAUAUAUAGCAACCAACAGGGGGAAAGCAUGCCUAGGCCUAGCUUUUACUUCAACUAAGACUAAGUACAACUUUGAGAGGAGAAUGGAAAUUAGUUACAGGUAUUUCUUGGUCUCUGCCACCGCGUGCGAAAACCUUGUAAGCUUCAGAUCUCUUGGCAUCGUCAAAGGUCCAACCUUGGAACAAUCCCCCGUGCCUUUCCGUCAGUGCCCGAUCAAUCACCAGCUGAAACAAACAGAAGCCGGAUGAUAUAUGGAACACCAAUAAUUCGUGAAGCGAGAAAAAUUAGCACAAACUAAUACUAGUAUUCAAAGAGUGUUCAUACAUCAGAAUCAGAUACGCAGCAAUGCGCUGCGAUCGUUUGCGCAGUCUCUGAAGCACGCUUCAAGUCAGAGGAGUAGACGGCAGCUGGCUUGGCUUCUUCCGACAGACGACGGGCAACCUUGAGGGUUUGAACAAAAUCAGAAUCACGUACAUAAUCUCUAAGUCAUGAUCUCACAAAGUAUAUAUAGCGUACCUUGGUAGCUUGCUGCCUACCAGUUUCGUUCAGCUCCUGAUCGAUCCGUCCCUGUUGAAACUUAAAAUAAGCCUUAACACAUGUUGUAUUGCAUCGCAGAGGGAGAAUCAUAUCUAAGUGAUGCGAUAAGUAGCAAGCUGUGACAGGACAGGAUGAACAAGAAGCGACCUGAAUGAUGCGGGAGACGUUCCAAUCCGUCUGUCCAUGGCGCACCAACACCACCUCCGCGAAGUGCUCGCCGUGCGUCGACGCAGGUGCCAUGAUCGAUCGGCCGGCGUUACUGCUGCAGAGGGAAGGGGAGAUGGUCGCUCUUGCUCUAGCUGCCUUGCAGAGGUUCUUUGAAAUCUGGAACCUCUCUGAUCUCUUGUGCUAUAUGAUCUAGCUGCCCUGCAGAGGGAAGGGGCGACUUUAUAGAAAGGAGGCCAGAGGCACAAGAGAGGAAACGCCGCGGCGAACCCUAUCCAUCUCCAUGUACGCGACGCGAAGUAGGCCAUUUCCGAAGGGGCGAAGUAAGCGACGCACGCGACGCGAAUCCUAUCCACCACGAAGAGGCCAGAUUGCUUCGACUCCAUGCCAUCACGGUGGCGGGGUUGACUAACAAAUUAGAAACACGGUUUGAGCCACAACAGCCAUUCCAACAGCAGGUUGGUUUCCAUUCUAGCCAAGCCAUCCAUCGGACGUGUCUUUCCAACAGCAGCUUCCGGAAGGCUCUGGAAGGCUCUGGAAUCACAAGCAUAAAGCCUGCGCCUGGUCGGCGGACAAGCAUAAAACCUGAGUUGUCUUGUUCAUGAUAAGUACAAACCCCCGUGCACUUCUUCUCCACCGAGACCCCCGCGCCGGCCCUGCUUUCCCGUCCGUCCGAUCGAGCGGGUCCGGCCGUCCACAAGCAAGUUGGUAAGCGCAUGGAAUUUUGCAAAAAACGCCCUUCAGUUCUCCGCUAAUCUACUUCGGAUCUAGGGAGGCCCUUUGCCAACCGUAACCACGUUCGAUUUAUUUGCGGCACACCCCAUUGGUUCAAAAAUAUUUCAACACUAAGAAGAGAAAAUUCCAAUUCCACGUCGCUUUUUAAAAAAUCACCUGCUGGUCAUUUUGCGAAGAACCCCCAACCGCAACCGUGCCGCUAACACACGCUUGGUCUCGAGCCGCCGCCCCCUCCUAAUUCUCUCCGCAUCCCUCUCUUUCUCACCCUCCCGCCCUCCCCGACGGCCGCCGCACACUUUAGUAGGCAUGGUUAGUGUCUUUUGAUGUUCUUAAUGCCUGCUACUGGUUCAGAUUUGUUUUUUUCCCCUUCUGUAUUUCACUAGGUUUGGUAGUAGCUUGUAGCCUCGCCUUAUUCAACCUUAGCAUCAGUAAAUGUAGGUAAUGGAGUUAUAAAAAACUGAUAAACCAACCACUUCAAUAAAUUGGUGUCUUCCCAAUUCCAACUCUUGGUGCUUAUACUAAAAGCAAGCAUCGGACUGAAAAUUUCUACAAAAAAUUAGCUUCAAGAUCACUAGCUACUAUAUUUCGAUCAUUUGAUUUCUUUUCCUUUUUUUGCAAAAGACCAUUUGAUUUCUUGAUGGUGAUGAGUUAACUGUGUUGUGAGGUGAGACAAUCGAUUGCCUCACAUAAUUCGUGAUAUUUAGACCUUUAGUAAAACGGCUUUCCGAGAAUAUUGUGGAUUGCUUCAAUUUUUACAGCUAAUACUUGCAAACUCUGUAUGUGUCAUUCAGACAGCUUGAUUGCAUAUGACCUCCCUCAGCAAUACAUUAAUUUUAUGACAUACUUUUCAGGUUAGGUUGGAGAAAAAGAUGGCAAACUGAAGACUGCGCCAAUAAAAACAAAUUUUCAGCUUAUGCUUCAAUAAUUUUCUAAAUCCUAUUGUCAUUAAUUAGUUUGAAGAAACGAUGGGAUCUGUAACCUCGUAAAGCUACACAUUUAUAUGGAGAGACUCAAAAGACUUUCUGGUUUGCGCAUGUCAGCAGUGAUUAAAACAUUGCAUAGUUCUUUCUAUUUAUUAUCAUGUAGUUUCAGCUUUUGUACCAGUUGAUUUGUCUAUGAAAUUAUGUGCACCGGAUUAAGGAAAGGUUAUGCCAAAAAUUGACGUAGAAAAUGAGGCUGUGAUUGUACGAGUUCGAAAUGGUGCUAGCUCAAUGACACCAAGACAUGAGCAAUAUAAUCUAAUUAUCCAAUUUCCAUCGGUGGACAUGUGAUUUCCACCAUCGAAACUCUAAAAUUACAUUAAAAAUUGAGCCAAAGAAAUUAUUACACAGCCGUGGGAAGCCUGCGUGAACCGGUGAAACCUAAUUAUUACAUAUGUUGAUGUUGAAUGUGUUGCUAAAUCUUAUUAUUUGUUCUAUGAACAUGGGUCCAUGAUAUUGUGUAUUCUAUUUUGACCCUGACACACAUACAUAUCAAGAUGCAAGGUGCUGUGAUGAAUUAUGUCCUUGACCUCGAGAAGAAUUGUUAUCUUCAUGCAGAUCUCGCAAAAUCCAACUCCAGAAUCAUGUCCUUGACCUCGAGAAGAAUUAUUCUCUUCAUGCCUUAAGCUCCAGGACAUCUUUCUUGCUCCACUAUGUGGUUCUUCGUUAAUGCUGUCACACUUUUGAUCUCAUCAGAUGAUGCUUCACCUUAUUCUUGUGAGAAAAGAACUAGGAAACCAAUGUGAUUUUCUGAUUCAGGUAUCAUUCAAGUAGCUUUUGAGACUGUAUGUCAUGAAAGAAAACCAUGUGUAUUUUACACCUUGUUGAUCUAUGCAUGAUGAUAUCAGCACUUUGAGCUUACAGUAGCUCCACUACUACUGCUGAUAGAGUUUGUUAUAUCAGUCUACCCAGCUACCAACAUACCGACACAAAACUGGACAUUCAUAAAUUUAUUUUGAAAAUUUCAAAGCCAUCCUUUGGGACUUGGCUGUGGAAAUAUUGCUAUAAUGCUAGAGCAUCACUGGAGUAAAUUGCCAAUAGUUCUUAAAAGUCAACAGCAGGUUUUUUCCCUUUUUAACUAUGUGGGGGUGUUUGGUUCCCAUGUACUAAACUUUAGUCCACUAUUUUGGUGCACUUUUAAUCCCUAAACACCCAAACAGGUAGACUAAAGUUUGGACUAAAGACUUUAGUCCUCUAGUCCACAAAACUGGACUAAACUAGACUAAAGGAUGGUGGGGACACAUCUGCCCCUCAUUUAUUGCCCUCUCUCCCACCCGGCUCCCUCCCGCUGCCUCCCGCUCGGUCCCCGCCACCGUCGCUGCCUGCCGCCCUCCCUCCCGCCCGCUCUCUACCACGCGCGCCGAAUGUGGCGGCGGAUCCUGGCCGCACGGAGGCAGUCCCCCUGCCUAGUCUGCUGCGGUGGCGGUGCUAGUGCGUGGUGGGUAGACGAGCGACGCCCCCGGCCUCCACCCGCACCCGCUCCCCCUUAGCUCCGAGCGCAGCCAACGGCUGCCGCCGAGGGUGCCCCGCGCGGGGUGCCUCCGUGCGAUGGCGGGAGCCUACGGCGGACCUCCAUAGCCAUAGGGCGGCGGUGCUGGGCGGCUCGUCGGUGCUCAACCCCGCCCAUGGCAGUGGCUGCCCGUGGUUUGGGUUGUGUUUUGGGGAUUUUGAUUUGGCGCAAGGGAUUGAUCUGCGCUGGGCACUCAUCCCCCACCGCCGCCUCGCGCGAUGGAGGAUCCGCCGCCACAUCCGGUGCGCGCAGCGGGGAGUGGCGCAGCGACGGGGAGGCCUGCGCCUUGAGUGCCAUGUGGGCACAGGAGCGGAGGGGAGGCUGGGAGGGAGUGCCAGAACCAGAAGUUGGCAUAGGGGUACUGGCAGCAGGGGUAUAAAUGUCUUUGUUCAACAGCAUUUAUGGACUUUAGUCCAUUUUAGUCCAUGGAACCAAACAGAGGUGGGACUAAAGUUUAGUCCAUGGACUAAAGGAACCAAAUAGGGCCUAACUAGAAAUAUACAAUGGAUGUUCUCACAACGGCUGUUCUGUCCGAGCCCUACAGAAGAAGGCACCAUAGAGUCCAAGAGACCAGCCCCCGCGUCGCCCCCCACCGGGCCACUCGGGCGGCGACCACCCUCUAGCCACCGUCAGCCACCUCUACCCCCUUCUCCCUCGCUGUCGUAGGAGGAAACCACCAGGAGCCUGCGCGGCUCCCUAGGAUGGUGAUGGCGGGGUCUCUCUCGUCGCGGCGUGCUCCGGGUGGAACGCGGCAGCGGCCUCCCUUCUCCUAGCGGCGGCACGCUCGUCCUUGACCCGCGAUGUGUGCUUCCGUGGGCUCGACGACCGGAUCUGGUGAUGUUGAGGGUGGGUCCGGCGAGCGCGUAGCGGGCCCAGCCGAGGGAGCUCGGGCACCGCGGUGGCGGCCCUCAGUGGUGGCGGGGGCCCUUUCUGGUGGCCGGCGUGUGGAUCCACGACAUCGGAGGCUGAUGCCUGUGAGGCCAGGGCGGAUCAGGCGAACCCACAGCCAGGACAUGGCUCGGCCACCGUGGGCCAUGCUGACUCCCGGCGGCGGCGUGCGGCCACAGUACAGGGGCGGAGACGGAGGAAGGGGGCCACACAGGGAGCGGCUUUGGGGCACAGGCUGCAGUCGACGCGGGAGGUCGGGUCAGGCAUUCGCAGGGCUAGGGAACCCGUGCUGUAGUGGCCCGGAUGCAAUUGCGGCUGGCGCACAUGGAGGUCGUGAGGUGCGGCAGCGCCGGCAAGGACGUGCGGCUAGAGGUCGUGCAAGCGAGGAGGUGCGGCGGUGGCGUGGAGGCUACUCGUGUGGUGCCGUUGCAGUGGUGCGAGGAUCUACGCCGAUGGUGGUGGUGAGCCAUUGUUGCGGGAAACUUUUUGUGUGCGCACAUGGUACAACUGAGAUUUCGGCGGUGGCAAGGUGUAGGUGAAGUUAUUGGAGUAGCUCGGUGGAACCAUGUCACCUUUGAUGGCAAAGCAAGUCCGGAUCCUUGGUGUGGAGUCCAGCGACGGAAGUGGCGAGACCCCGUUCGCUUUAAGUUUGUGUGUCCGAGGAGUGGUGUGCGGCGGUGGAUGUGGUGAUGCCCCCACGCGUUUCGAGUUGCCUUGGAGGGUCAGGAUCCGGUGCGGCGUUUUGAUUGUUUGGUGUGUACGGUGCGGCAAUGAUGCUUCGGCGUUGGGUCCUGCAGAGCAGUGGCUUUUUCGGUGUGGUGCAGUGUGCUCCUCCUUUAACUUCUGCUGAUACAAAGCUGUGGAUUGGGAGAUCGAUGACUGUGUGUUUAUGACCUGAGGACGACAGAGGCACGGUGGAGAAACCUUGGUAGCUAUACGGCUUGCAGCAGACUGCGGCGGUCAGUCCUGCAUGGCAGCGGCUGGUUCAGCGUGGGACAUCGUUGGGGAUGACGGUGCUGGCGAUAAGGGCUACUUGUCGGUUUUUCCUGCUGGGUGGUGGUGGUGUGGCGUGGUGGUCGCUGCUCAAGCUUUAGCGUUGCGUGGCUUGCAUCGAUGUCUCAAUCGACCGGUCGUAGAGUUCUUUUUUGUUUUGAGUUGGGUUGAGUCGGCAUUUCUAUUGGGAGCUACUUUGGUGACUCUGCUGGUGUACCUAGUCUGGAAUCUUUUUUCUUUUUAAUAUAAUCCGUAGCUCUCCUAACUCGUUCGUUUCGAAAAAAAUACAAUGGAUGGUAUGCUGCACACUAAACUAGCCACUAGGCUGAUGGCUAAUGCUCAUGUUUCUGUUCUGUUAUAGCCACUAGACUGAUGACCUAUGCUCAUGUUUAUACAUAUGAGAAUUAUGGCGGCACUAAACAAUAAACUUUCGUGGCAAAAGAAAAGAAUAAAAUGAAGGGUCGUAGACAUGCCUGUUUCCAAUUUCUCUCUUGACAGGCUAACAUUGAUGAGAGGACUACUUAGACUCCCUGGUACAGUUCUCCUAGGAGAGGCCUCUGAAUCUGCUGAAAUGUCUAGCUGAAGGACUCUACAAAAUAAAAGAGAAUGACUGCAAAUUUAUUUGCUGAAAGCCUGCAUCAAUCAUCAAUUACACUGCAUUGUGUUAACAGUAGGCCAUGUUAGCUAUUAUGUAUCAAAAAGAUCAAAUUAAAUUUGAACAUGAGGAUCAAGAAAGAGAUGAAACGACCUACUAUGUGCCAAGAAAUUAUCUGUAUGUUUAAACUCUGAAUUAUCAAACAAUUCUAAAUUAAGCUGGGUUACAUAAAAGGAAAAGGUGUGUACUCCAUAUGAGCAUGGGCUUCCUACAUUUAAGGUACCGAAUUACUGAUAAAGAAAACAUUGCAGAGAAGAGUGACAUAUACACAAUGAAACUGGAUCGCACAGAUGGUAGCAUGGCGCAGGGUAAGAAGCAGGCACGGAGUGACGUUUUUUAAAUUGAUUUAAUUUAGAAUAAAUACAACAAUAUUCUCACGUGGUAUCUCUGCUGCUGCACAAAUAAUAGUAACACAUAAAAGGGGAAGGUUUGAGAUAACGAGGAAUGGCUACCGAUGGAUGGGACUAAAUUAAAGUUAUCUAUUCUAUUGCCUCCAACUCCAAAGCAACAGGGUAGAAUCAAACACUUUACACUUCAGGGUUACAUUCACAACUGCCUAUGAGAAGGCAUUUACAAGCAGCAGUGCAAUGCUUCAAAUUUCAGUGUGGUAUUGUUUACCCACAGGAAUUUCUAUACAAGUUCAUUAUCAUUGCACUGACAAGUGAGAGCAUUGUAGUAAUGGAAGAAUGGAGGCAUGUUCAACCGUAUCGAGGACUCGAGGUAGCCGAUUGUAUUGCUGAAGGACCGGAAAGGCGACCGGAGGGAGUGAAUGGGAGCUGAUUCAAAUUUUCUCAAAGAACCUCGGCUAAAGUCCCAACAUAAUCCACAAAAUUCUCUUCUAGCAAUAUCAAGUCCCCUUAGCUAUGCAGGAGCUAAUGGAUGGACCUAGGAAUAUUGCUAGGAACCCAAUUUGAGACUAGCGGAAGCAAGAAAAAGCCCAAACAAGUAUCGGGAGAAGAAAUUCGAAAACCAACUAAAAUUUGGAAAAUUCCGGAAAAUCCUUCGGAAACUUCCAAACUUUCGGAAAUUUCCGGAAAACCUUCGGAAAAUUGCAGAACUCCGGAAAACAGCCUUCGUGAGGAAGUGGGAAAAAUCAAUAACUCGAUCAAACGACCUCCAAAAUCACGAAAUUUGAACCAUAGACUCACAGCAACAUACCAAAGGUAUUUCCCAAAGGCUCAAGUCAAAAAGCCCAAGAAUUGGUAAAUAGAUUCAAAGGAUUUGGGAAGGGCACAAGAAAGGGGAUUUUCAGGGAAUCUCAAAAUUCAAGCCAAAUUUGCGAGGGAUUUGAGGGAGAUCACAUUAUAGAUGCUCACACGGGUCACAAAAACAAUUUCUCCUAACAAAUCUCACGGGAUUUGGGCUCAAACGCGAAGAACGCAAAAUCCCAAAAAAUACAUCUGAAAAUACUGAGAAAGAUAAAUUUUAGAUUCAAAGAGGAUGGAACAAUAUGGCACAAAAUUGAUCUUUGGAUUACUCCACCAUGUUUGGUUUCAAGCCACUCCUAAGCACAAUCCAAACUAGGACGACAAAAAGAUCAACUCACACCUCUCUCCCUCUGCCAAAGGCUCUCACAAAGCAAAUGAGAAAAUCCCCACCAAAACAAGCAAAGGGAUGGCUACCCCAACCAGCCAUCUCUCCUAUAUAUAGGCAUCUGGAAAAUAUCCAGAAUACCCUUACAUGAAGCACACAACUCAAAUACCCUCCAGGGCUAAAAUUGUCCAACGUUUUCCUCGUACAUCUGAUGGACCCGGCGCCUUCACGACUUCGCUUCGCCUCGACGCAAGCUUCGUGUGGUGUCACGCAUCCUCUGACUCGACGUCGUCCAGCCGCAUCGAAAUCGUCCCCUGAUUUUGAGGCCAAACUGGUCAAACCCUCUUGCACACCCCGCAAGCGUGACUCAUCCCCGAUUUUGAGGCCAAGCCGAUCAAACCCUCUCGCACGCCCUGCAAGGCAUGAUUCACCCCCUUGUUUUGAGGUCAAACCAGUCAAACCCUCUUGCACGCCGCGUACGACGUGACUCACCGAUGUUGAUGCGUGUCCGGUCUCCGCCAAGCCUUCGACGCCUUCAAGUCUUUCGCUCCUGGCUCCCGGGCCACCUACUCGACUCGCCUCCGUCCCGCUUGACUCGACCGACGCCGUCUCCAUCUCGUCCGUGUACUCUUGCUCUUUCAUGCACCAUAUGGAUCGUCCAUGACUCCGCUUGGACUCCUCGGGUCCCUCGAUCCAAACAUUCAUGCCCACCCUUCACAACGCUAGUACAUUGGUAUGAACCUUUCGCUUGACCUUCACCUCAUGCCGUCGACCGCCAUGUCGCAUCCUACACCUGCACAUCACAAGCCAAGAGACACAACACACAAGAUAUGUUUUAUACAAACACCACAACACAACUCACACAACUCACACAUCUAGUUAGCCGUUAGCAUAAUCAAGUGCAUAUGGAAUAUGGACUCAACCGGUAAAGACUCAAAUCAUCUAGUUAAUCACUCAUCACAAAUAGACCAAGACACAUGUCAACUUGGUCUCUCAAUCUCCUUCAUAAGUGCAUUGACAAAAGAUGAUUUGAAAGCAAAAGAGAACUCAUUCAAGUGCCCAAAAGCCAAAUAAAAGCAAACACAAGGCAACUUGAUAUGAAAAAGGAUCAUGCAAGCUCUGAACAAAAAACUCUAGGUUCCCAAAGAAGAGACAAAAAACUUAACACAACCGAAGAGUCAAGAAAAAGACACAAGAGCUUCAUGAAUCCCAAAAUGCCAUCAAAGCCAUUUCAAUAUUUGUCAAACGCUCAUCACAAUUAAAUCAAGGUUCAUAUCAACUUGAUUUUCUCAAUCUCCCCCUUGAUGAGUGUGUUGAAACCAUUCAAGCACAAAGAAAUGGUUUGAGAGGCAAAAGUCAAAAAUCUCAUCCAAGUGAUCGAAAGCUAAGUAAAAACUAAGAUCAAAGUUACUUGAGAUGAGAACAACCAUAAAAGCCAAGUUGUGAAACCAAUUAGGCAAAGCUCCCAUUCAAGUGAUCGAAAGCCAUGUAAACGCUAUGAUUAAAGUCACUCGGCAUGAGAAGCAUCACAAAGACCAAAUCAACUUGGAAAAGUCUCAGUUCCCAAAGACAUGGGCAACGGCUCGACACAACCGAGACAAAGAACACAUGAUCUCUCAAGAAGAGGCAGAAAGGGCUCAACACCAAUCAUGUGAAGAUCGAAAACACAUGAUCCCUCAAGAAGAGGCAGAAAUGGCUCAAAACCAAUCAUGUGACGAUCGAAAACUCAAACCAAAUGCCAGCUCCUCAAGAAGAGGUAAAAAGCUCAACACGACCGACAAAAGAGCAAAAGAGAGCACAAAACUAGCACAAAGCU